rnacentral:lncRNA from 1 species
UGUUCCUAGUACUACCUCCAUGAUCCCACACUCCUAAUCAUAUGAGCUAAAAUGUUACACAUUCAAUCUUUGAGAGAUAUAAAGAAAAAUACAUAUUUAUAGAUAGAUUAUCUUUCGAUAAGGUUGAGCGAUCUGAUCUGACAAAUGUUAUAAGUGCUACACUCAUGAACUUAUCAUCCAUUAACUUUGUCUUGCUCACGAUGCUUAAGGAUAGAGAAGAAUAAAUAUACUCUUGGUUCUGUUGGUGUUUUCCACCAACAGGACCCAUAUACUUGAUCUCUGCCUUGUCUCUAUGAGCAGGUACACUUGGAACAAAACAUGGUGGAGUUUUACAACUCCCAGAUUCCACCAAGUGAGGGACCUGGAUCUACGAGCACAAACACACUAAGCAGGAUGCUGCCAACGCUACACUUCGAACUGCUGGGCAAACGAAGAACAUGGGUGACACCGUAUCAAGAGGUGCAGACAUCAAGGUCCACACCUGAAUCAAAUGACGCACCUAAAGAAUGAACACGGUGAGAAGCCUUGUUCAGAAGACUUAAAACAUUGAACCCUCGCCGAAAGAAUUCAAGGAUCAAUAAAACUAGCAGACGGAGGACAUCCUAAUCGCUGUCAGGGUGCUGCCGACAUUCAAAUACACCUCCGCCACCUGCUAGCUACAUCAGAAGAAAUUACGUCAAAAUCCAGCUUGGGGGAGAGCACCCCCAUUUGUCCAGCUAAGUGUUUCUACUCGUGUUUAUACUUUACUUAAAUAAUAAAAAGAUGCAUAAUCAUAAAAACCCAAAUAAAGAUUUUGUGCUUAUAUAUAUAUAUCUUUGCUUAGUUUGCUAAAUAAAUAAAUAAAGUUUGCUAUGAACACUCAUGAUAAGCUCUCACAUAGAAAUGAUGAAUAGUUGCUCUGCCAUGACUAGUUCUCAAAAUUAAAUUCUCUCUCAAGUUUAGGCAUGACUGUUAUGAAUUAAGAUUUGCUCUAAACUUGAACUUGUGGGAAGAGUACUUAUCUAAAGUCUAAGUCGUUAACGGAUAUGAUAUGGGAUGGUUGAGCUGCUAUUUAUCUGUUCCUAGAUAUGCUAGAAUUCUAGAGAAUUUUAUCUUUGAAAAUCUUUAAAAUGUUGCAUGAUGAGUUCCUGUAUGAUGAGAGUUUAAAAUCCUACCACAGUCAUAUAUACAUGCUUAUUAGACUAUGAACCAAACAUUUACUUUUUACUGCUUAUGAGCAUUGAGUGUGGUCAAGCUGUGUAGACCCUUAGGAGCUUGUCAUGUGGUUAAAAUCAAGAUCCACUUGCACGUUCACUCAUACAUGCUGCUUCUACUCCGUAAGUACGCAUCCACAUACAUCCAUUCAUUUCCAUCUCCAGAUUCACCCAAAAUUAUUCUACUCCUAUCCAGGAGAGAAUAGCCAAAAACAUUAUCCUAUCCCUGUUAUUCCCCGUGAAAUAAAUGCUCUUGAUAUUUUGUUUACUACCACUUGCUACAUUAUUCUAGGAGGGUGAGUGCUCUAAAAAAAGUAAAAAAAUAUGAGGAAAUAAAAAGGGGCAAGUGCCUGAAACCUCGAAGAAAAGAAAAAGUGAGACGAGAGGUAAAAAUGGACAAGAGUCCGAUAGUAGAAUUAGGGGUACAAAAUACCAACCUGAGAGAAAAGAAAAAGAAAAUAUAGAGCAUCUCAUUCCCCUCAAAAAGCCUCAAAGUGCAAGAAAGGUAUGUAUUCCCUCAAAAGAGCAAAAGCAGAAUUAGACUUUCACCAUUGUUUUCACCAUUAUCACCAUUCAUUCGCCAGACAUGCACAUCUUGAUUUGACUUAUUGACUUGUUUCUCUGGAUCCAUGGUUUGACUACGCAAUAAAUGUCUUGUAAGUAUGUAUUAGCUGUCUCCCACCUAUGAGCUCCAGAUAUCAAAACCUUAUUAGAGUAGGGUGAGAGAGAAGGCAAUAUCACUAUGCCUCAUACCAAAAAUACCACAUACUUUGAGAGAAGGCAUAUACCAUCACUGCCUUGGUAAGGAUACAGAAAUACCACAAAAGAGAGAUUUGAGAGAGACAUACAAGGAAUCUCUGAGUUUUAUUUUGAAAAUCUACAAAAAACUCCAGAGCUAUAGCUGAUCAAGAAUAAGAGACAUGGCGCUUGACUAUGUUGUUCUAUCUUUUAACUGCUCAAGACACAAGUAACGGUUGCAAGCCCCAUGGUGGAAGGUAAUAUGAGUAAGUUUAAAUCUUAAUUGUUUACCCUAACCUAGAGAUGAGAUCUUGUUUGAACGCAUGUGUACCUUUAAGGCAUGAAACCACUACAGAAACUCUUGAGUCCAUCCUUGCUCAGGGACGAGCAAGAGGUAUGCUUGGGGGAGUUGUUGACGGUCCUUAAGUACUAAAUAUAAUUAUCAAAUAAAUAAAGAAUAGGAUCCAAAUGCAACCAACACCCAGACUUUAGGGUUUUAUCUAACAGAAUUCCACGAGUUUUGGUGUUUGUCUAUUUCUGCAGGGGGUUUUCAGGAAAUAUGAAGGAAAGGCCCACACGUCGGGUUUACAUAGAGAUAUUAACGUGCCACACAAUUUUCUAUCAUCUAGAAGACUCUAGAAGCCACGGGAACAAAGCGGAAGCCGAGAGGGCUCAGGGACAGGUCGCCCGCCCAAGUCCUUAGGGCGCCCGCCCACCUAUUUUGGCCAAUCACGUUCAUCUUCGCGGAUUAUGCUCCACCGACCUAAAGGAUCAAGAAUAACCGUUCAAUCAAUGUCGGUUUGAUCCGAUGGCCCAAAUUCACUUGAGGGGACUAUAUAAGCAGACCCCCUGGCCCCUAGAGGAGGCACCCCUUGAUCAUUAUUCAUUAUUCAUAGACAGAGCAAAAGCUAGGGUUUAGAGAUGAGAGCUCUCCUCUCUUCUCUAAACUAGAGUAGAUCUAGAUAGUAGCGAGAUGGAGAGCGAGGGAGGAUUGGAGGAGAGGCCGGCCUGUCGGUUCUUCUUCCGGUUGUACUUUGUCAUGAUCAAGCUCUAAUCAAGCUUGCUCAUGGGAUGACUCUGGUAAUCUACUUCUAAUUCAUUAUGCAAUUACUAAUCAUCUAUGUUCUGGUUCACAACUCUUUUGAGUACUUCUAAUCUAUAGGACCCUAUAGGUUAGAGUUGUAGUAUAGGUGUAAGCGUGGUGCUUAGAUCUAGAUUACUUGUGGAUAUCCCCUAUCUAGCCGGAUCGUGUGGUAGGCCGCGUAGGUGACAGUUACGUUGGUCCUCUGUAGUCCACCUCCCGUUAGCAGGACGGGUAGGGUUUAUCGGCCUAUGGAUAAGCAUCCUUUGUGGUGUAUUCUUAUCACGUGGUUCCUCCCAGACAUAGACAUACCCCUUUGAAGUAGAGAAACCAUAGUUAUCCUCUCUAUUCUGCUACCAUCGUCCAUAUACUAGAAUUGCUCUACUCUUUAUUCCCAUAUUACCACCCAUUGUUAUCUUACCUUUAAUAUUGUUCUUAUUCAAUUCUACUAUCUUUCCUAUUUACACUUAUCUAUCUAUCUUGGUAAGUUAGAGCGUAGUUGGUUCUCCCGUUUCCCUGUGGAUACGAUAAAACCUUUAACCGGGUAAAAGCUUCAACGGUAUCCGUGCGCUUGCGGAUUAUCUGUGUGCGUAUAAAUACCAUAGUACACUCUAGUGCCAUGCUGGGGAUGACAACCUAGUAUUCAAGUGGUGUUAGCAAGUGUCAACACACCUCCCCUCCCGUCUCAUCCCACAACACAUACAACUAUGGCGGCGGUGACAAUGACUAGGCUUACCAAUGCUUGAGUCCCAUUGGCGAUGAUCCCUGCCGCCACAAGGCUGAGCCCGUUGCCCCUGCGCCAACGCUGAGCCUCGCCGCCAUCUUGCGUUGUGCUAGGUUGCUCGUGGUUGUGGAGGCCAGGCGGGCGUCAGCGGAAGCCGGCAGGAUGCGUGCGCGGCACUCCACCUGAUCUAGCAACCCACCUUCUUGUCGCCAGAUCUUCAUUGGGCCCAUCAUCAGUGACAAAGACCCACGGCAGCAGAAGCCAGUAGGUGUUGGCAUUUCUUAGCGUCACUUACUAUGAGUAGAGUAAAGACCCUAUCCUCAGUGGCUAGGUUGUCAUCCCCAGCAUGACCCCAAGAAAUACUCUGGUGGUAGUAAAUAUACAAUGCUCUCUUAGAAUGAUGAAUAUAGAAUAAGGUAUCCACAAGCACACAGAUGUGUAGCAUUGUAGCAUUUUACCUAGGAAAGUUACAGGUAUCGUAUUUAUAAUUUUAGCCACAGGAAAGGAUAGCCAAGGGAAUAGAUAUCACUUGCAUGUAAUCUCAUGAGGGCAACCACAUCUUAUCUAUCUAACUUAAUGUAGGGGUAAGUCACAUAAUCAAGAUAAAUAUAUAUAUAUAAUGAAUAGUAAUGAUAAUCAAACAUAGAUUGAUAGAUGUAUCUCUAGAGUACUCUAGUCUAUAGAACUAGAAUGAAUUAGAAUGAUCUACUAAGAUGUUUCCUAUGUUAUUCCAACUAUAUAGUCUAGCAUAUUAUGAUUAGUGCAAUUAUACUUGGCAAUCAUAGCAAGAGCAGAUUAUAUCUACACAUAUGGACAUUACUAAGUGAAAAGCAUCUAGGGCCCUAAUGAGUUUUGGUGAUUAAUGACAAUGUUGAUUACUAUGACUAACGUGUGUUUUGUAGAGGCAAAGUCAUUUGUGUUAGGUCAUGGUAAUGGUGAUCGAUGGACUAGAUCAUUCAUGCCGACUUAAUGGUGGAAAUCGUUUCAGUUUUCAAAGGAUGGUUGGACAUCGUCGGGACUAGACUAGGUCUAAGUGCCACAUGGUGAAGAAGGGCACUUAGAGUAGUUUAGGACUUUGUUUUCCUUUGACCGUACUAUUAAGAGGGGCAUUGAAUGGGUAGCUUGACUGAGGCAAGGCUUUAGGUUUAGGUGUGGUGCACACUUGGUAAACCUAGCACUAGGCAGCUCUGCAAAAGUCCUUAAAUCGAGAGGAACAAACUUCAUUUUGGAAAGAUCACGUUUCGACGAAGUUUGGGUGCCUAGGAAGGCACCAGACGCUACACCAGACGCUAUGUGAGUGCGUCCGGUGAGGUUGACUCGAGUCAGAGUGACUGGGUGCCUAGGGUUAGGCACCGGACGCUCGCACCAGACUCACCGGGGAGCAUCCGGUCCCAUACACAGGGAGGUCUGCAGUAGACCAGGGCACCAGAUGCUAGCAACGGUCUCACUAGGUAGCGUUUGGUCCUAUAACCAGGGUGGGUGUAAAUUUACCCUCACACCAGACAGUGUCACCGGACCCACUGAGGGUGCGUUCGGUGCUCUGUCAGAGAGAGUACAGUUAGCUGUUAAUGUGUCACCGGACGCUCGGUGCAGUGCGUCCGGUGCAACAUUACCAGCGUCCGAUGCUCCUGUUUUUAGUGUAAAAUGGUUGGCCGGCCCUUGGACUUGAUGGGGAAUAUUUAUACUCCUCCACCUCAUCCAUGGGAGCUCUCUUGCCCAUUUGAUCAGUUGAGAAUCACCUUGUGGUGCAAGAGAGAAGCAAGAGCCUAGAGAUGAUUGAGAAUUGAGAGAUUUCUUGAGUGAAUCCUUCUCUAGUUGAGUUCCAAGAGUCAAGUGUGCAUCCACCACUCUCUAGUGCCUUGUUUGGGUCAAGUGAGACUUCAUUGCUUGUUACUCAUGGUGAUCACCAUCACCUAGACAGUUUGGUGGUGAUUGGAGGCACGAAGACCGCCUGGAGUUCUUGUGGGUGGCUCGUGUCAAGCUUGUGAGCGGUUGUGGGCGAUUCACCACGAUGGAGUGUCGAAGAAUCAGCCUGUAGAGAGUGCUUGGUCCUUGCGCGGACCAAGGGAGAGCAAGACCCUUGCGCGGGUGCUCCCACGAGGAUUAGUGGGGAGUGGCGACUCUCCGAUACCUCGGCAAAACAUCGCCGCGUUCCUCUUGCUCUACUCCUUUACUUUCUAGCAUUUACCUUGAGCAUUGAGUUUCUUAGAAUUGCCAUGCUAGAAUAGGAUUGGAACUAGGUUGCAAAACUUUUUAUCGAGUAGCUCUCUAGUCACACUAGGCACAAGGGGUUUAAUUGGAGCUUAUAGGUUGCUUAAAUUUUUAGAGAAGCCCAAUUCACCCCCCUCUUGGGCAUCUUGAUACUUUCAAUUGGUAUCGGAGCCUAGUGCUCAUUAUUUAGGUUUCACCGCCUAGAGAAAGAUGUCUAACGGGGAUGGACCGCCACCCAUGUUCGAUGGCGAUGACUUCCUAUAUUGGAAAAUAUGGAUGGAGUCAUACCUCGAGGCAUGUGACUCCAAGUGCCUAAAAUCCGCAACCGAAGCGUUUACCCCUCCGACAAAAGACACCGCUCUUACUCCACAAGAGCAAGAAAACGAAAAGUAGAAUGCAAAGGCCAAAAACAACAUAUAAGGUCUUUGCAAAGAGGUGUUUAACCGUGUGAGGAACCACAAAACCACCCAUGAUCUAUGGAAGGAACUUUGUGCGCUCCAUGAGGGAUCCAAGAGUGAGCAUGAGGAGCGCUUUCAUCUUGUAAUGAACAAGCUUAAUACAUUUGAAAUACUUCCCAUGGAAAAUGCUAACGAAAUGUAUUCUCGCUUGAAUGUCAUUGUAGAGGAGCUAAAUGGACUUGGGCUCAAUCAAAUGAGUUCGGCGGAUGUGGUGAGAAAGAUACUAUGUGUCGUCCCCAUUGAGAAAUAUGGGCACAUAGUAACCGUGCUUCAUCAAGGCAAUCUCUCCAGUGCCACACCAACAUCCAUCUUGGGGAAGAUCAAUGCUCAUGAGAUGUACAUGCACAUGAACCCCCAAGAUAGCUCUUCAUCGGCCAAGAAGGAGAAGAAGGACUUGGCCCUUAAAGCUUCGCACAAGGGCAAAGCCAAGAAGAUUGAAGUUGAGUCAUCAACUUCAAGUGAUGAUGAUGCAUCCAUUGCCCUCUUCGUGAGAAGAACCACCAAGAUGUUGAAGAAGCUCAACAAGAAUGGAGUCAACUUUGACUCCAAGAAGAAGAAGUUCUUCACAAGUAGCAAGAGAAAGCCCAUCUCUAAGAUGGAUUGCUACAAUUGUGGGGAACUUGGUCAUCUAGCUCACCAAUGUCCCAAGCCCAAGAAGGACAUGUACAAGAAAAAGAACAAAAAGAAAGAUGAUUCAAGUGAUGAUGAGAAGAGCGACAAGAAGCCAUACAAGAAGAAAGGUGGAAGAAGGAGUACCACAAGAAGAAGAAUGGCAAGGCUUACAUUGCUGGUGAUUGGCUCACCGACAUUGAAAGCUCAAGUGGUGACUUCUCUGGCAAUGAAAGUGAUGAUGAGAAGGUUGCCACCAUUGCCAUUGAUGCUUCAUCACCUUCAUCAUCUCCACCAUCUACAUCCUCUACACACCUAUGCCUUAUAGCCAAGGGUGACCGGAAGGUACAUAGUGAGGAUGAGAGUAGCGAGAGUGAUAGUGAGUUUGAGUCACCUUCUUAUGAUGAACUUGUGCAAUUACUAAACAAAUACACUAAAGUCAUAAGAAAGACUAGUAGUGAAAAUGACAAGCUUGAACAUGAAAAUGAAUCACUUCAGCAAAGCUUAAAUCUAGUGAUGAGCUUAGAGAUCAAAAUGAUAUCAUGACCACUAAGCUCAAGGAGCUCAAACUCUCUCUAAAAGAGCUUAAAGAAAAACAUGAUAAACUUGAGAGUGUUCAUGAUGAGCUUAUUACUAGACAUAGAACUUUGAAGGAAGAAUUCACAACUCUAAAAGCAAACUAUGACAAUCUUGAGAUAGCUUAUGUUCUUGCAAUCAAUGAAACACAUGUUGCUACUAAUAAUGUUGCUAAGCUUGAUGUAGCCACAUCUUGUGAUGACUUACUUGUGGAGAGCACUAGCAAAUGUGUUGGUUGCAAGGGCAAGAAUGUGGUAGUGGCCAAGAGUGAGGACACUAUCAUGAUCAAGAAAGAAAAUGCCAAGCUCAAGAAAGAGUUGCAAGAGCAAGUCAAGCACAAAAUAAUAGUGAUUGAGUCACUUGAUCAAGAUAAGAAGCUUGCAUAUGAGAACAAGUUGCUCAAGGAAGAGAAUCAAUAUCUCAAGUUUGGCUUGUUUUAUGACAAGCAAGAAGAAGAUGAGUCCUUCAUCUUGGAGGAGUUAGAAAGCAACAAUGACCCAAUCAUCAACAAACUAACUCAAGAGAACAACAAGCUCAAGAAAGAGAAGGAGCAUCUAACCAAGGGGUUAGCCAAGUUCAUCAAAGGGAAGGACCUUCAAAGUGAGCUAAUCAUGAACACUGUUAUGAAGAUGGACAAGAGUGGAAUUGGCUACAAGGCUCAUCAGAGCAAGCUCAUCAAGUCACUAGUCACUCAUAAACAACCAAGCAAGCCCAAGCCAAAGAGGUGCUUUGAGUGUGGACAAGAAGGACACUUUUCUAAUGAGUGUGAGGCACCACUACCACCACCAUUGCCCAAGCAUGCUAGACCAUUUGCCUUCAAUGCUCUCUACAUUGUAAGGAAACACAAGAGUGGCAAGGUCAAGGUUAGCUUCAUGGGGCCGCCCAACAAGCAAAGGCCAAAGAAGAUUUGGGUGCCAAAGCAACUAGUAGAGAAGGUCAAGGGUCCUAAGCAAAUGUGGGUCCCUAAAUCUCAAGCUUGAUCUCUUGUGUGUAGGUGAACUACAAGACCGGUGGAUCACAUUGGGUAAUUGAUAGUGGUUGCACUCAAUAUAUGACCGGAGAUCCCCGGAUGUUCACAUCACUUGAUGAAGAUGUUGACAACCAAGAGAAGAUCACAUUUGGUGACAAUUCAAAAGGGAAGGUCAAGGGUCUAGGAAAGAUUGCAAUAUCCAAUGACAACUCCAUCACCAAUGUGCUCUGUGUGUCAUAAUUGAGUUUCAAUUUGCUCUCGGUUGGACAACUUUGUGAUCUUGGCUUCCAAUGCUUAUUCAAGAAAAGGGAAGUGAUAGUGACAAAGGAGGAUGACAAUGAAGUGGUAUUCAAAGGCUUCCAACAUAACAACUUAUAUGUAGUUGAUUUCUCAUCCGAUGAAGUUGAUGUCAAGACUUGCUUAUUCACCAAGACCUCACUUGGGUGGUUGUGGUAUAGAAGGUUAGCACAUGUUGGAAUGGGCACACUCAAGAUGUUGACGAAGAAAGAAUUGAUUAGAGGCUUGAAGGAUGUGACCUUUGAGAAGGACAAGCUAUGUAGUGCAUAUCAAGUCGGCAAGCAAGUUGCAAACACCCAUGCAUCCAACCAAGGCCUAUCUCUCUACUUCAAGAGUGCUUGAGCUACUCUACAUGGAUUUAUUUGGACCAACCACUUACACUAGUCUUGGAGGCAACAAAUAUUGCUUGGUCAUAGUUGAUGAUUACUCCCAGUAUACUUGGACAUUCUUCUUGCAAGACAAGGACAAAGUUGCAUCAAUUUUCAAGAAGUUUGCAAAGAAUGCCCAAAAUCAAUUUGAUGUCAAGAUCAAGAAGAUUAGAAGUGAGAAUGGCAAAGAGUUUGACAACACCAACAUAGAAGAAUAUUGUGAUGAAGUUGGGAUCAAACAAAAUGGGGUAGUAGAAAGAAAGAAUAGGACAUAUUGAUCUCCUUGUCAAGAACAAUGCUUGAUGAGUACAACACUUCGGAGAAGAUGUAGGCCGAGGCAAUCAACACCGCAUGCUAUGCAUCAAACCGGCUCUUUCCUCACAAGUUCCUAGAGAAGACACCAUAUGAUUUGCUCAAUGGGAAGAAGCAUGAUGUCUCAUUAUUUAGAGUGUUUGGGUGCAAAUGCUACAUCUACAAGAAGCGCCAACACUUGGGCAAGUUCCAAAGGAGAUGUGACAUUAGCUACUUGGUUGGCUAUUCAUCAAAGUCCAAGGCCUAUAGGGUCUUUAACCAUGCCACAAACAUGGUUGAAGAAACAUUUGAUGUUGAAUUUGAUGAAACUAAUGGCUCCCAAGGAGCAAGUGAUAAUCUUGAUGUAGGUGGUGAACCAUUGAGGGAUGUCAUGAAGAACAUGCUGGUGGGGGACAUCAAGACAAAAGAAGAUGAUGAUGUGCAAAUCAUUGAUCCACCAUCUUCCUCACAUGUGCCACAAGAUGAAGAUAAUUAUGUGAGAGAUGCUCAUGAAGACACUCAAGUCACUCUCAAGAUCUCAUCAUCGGGAGUCCAUCACGUGGUGUAACUACACGCUCUAGACAUGCUCUAUUUAUUGAACAUCACGCUUUUGUGUCUCUUGAAGAUGAACCAAAAACAAUAGAGGAAGCUCUUCAGGAUGUGGAUUGGAUCAUUGCCAUGCAAGAGGAGUUGAACAACUUCUCUCGCAACCAAGUGUGGACACUUGAAGAGCGACCCAAAGAUGCAAGAGUGAUUGGAACAAAGUGGGUCUUCCGAAACAAGAAGGAUGAUCAAGGCAAGGUGGUGUGCAACAAGGCAAGGCUCGUGGCAAAAGGCUUUUCACAAGUGAAAGGUCUUGACUUCGGUGAAACCUUUGCACCGGUGGCAAGACUUAAAGCUAUCCGUAUCCUAGUUGCAUAUGCAUCUAGUCAUGAAAUCAAGUUAUUUCAAAUGGAUGUGAAAAGUGCUUUUUUGAAUGGUUACGUUAAUGAGCUUGUCUAUGUUGAGCAACCCCCCCGGUUUUGAAGACCCUAGGUACCCCAAGCAUGUCUACCGGUUGUCCAAGGCGCUCUAUGGUCUCAAGCAAGCUCCUAGAGCUUGGUAUGAGAGGCUUAGGGACUUCCUCAUUGAGAAGGGCUUCAAGAUUGGGAAAGUUGACACAACACUCCUCACCAAGAAAAUAAAUGGGAAAAUCUUCAUUUGCCAAGUUUAUGUUGAUGAUAUUAUUUUUGGCUCCACAAAUGAAGAUUUUUGCAAGGAAUUUGGUGAUUUGAUGUCCAAGGAGUUUGAGAUGUCCAUGAUUGGCGAGCUAUCCUUCUUCCUUGGGUUCCAAGUCAAGCAAAUGAAGGAAGGAGUCUUCAUCUCUCAAGAUAAGUACACUCAAGAUCUUCUCAAGAGGUUCAAGAUGAUGGAUUGCAAGCCAAUCAAGACUCCCAUGGCAUCAAAUGGGCAUCUCGACUUUGAUGAGGGAGGUAACCCGAUUGACAAAACUCUCUAUCGCUCCAUGAUAGGAAGUUUACUUUACCUCACCGCAUCUAGGCCCGAUAUCAUGUUUAGUGUGUGUAUGUGUGCUAGAUAUCAAGCAAUGCCUAUGGAAUCUCACUUGAUUGCCGUCAAGAGAAUUCUUAGGUACCUAAAAUACACACCCUACCUAGGCUUGUGGUAUCCCAAAGGUGCAAGAUUCCAACUUGUAGGCUAUUUCGAUUCGGAUUAUGCCGGGUGCCGCAUUGAUAGAAAGAGCACAUCCGAAGGGUUCCAUUUCCUAGGUAGAUCACUUGUCUCUUGGAUGUCAAAGAAACAAAAUAGUGUUGCUUUGUCAACAGCCGAUGUAGAAUACAUUGUCGCCGGUGCUUGUUGUGCACAAAUACUAUACAUGAAACAAACUUUGUUAGACUAUGAAGUAGUUCUAGAUAAAGUACCUUUGUUGUGUGACAAUGAAAGUGCCAUAAAACUUGCAAACAACCCGGUUCAACACACCCGCACAAAGCACAUUGACAUCCGUCAACACUUCCUUAGGGAUCAUGUUGCUAAAGGUGAUAUAUCCUUAGAGAAUGUGGGGAUGGAAAAUCAAUUGGCGGAUAUCUUUACAAAACCCCUAGAUGAAGCUAGGUUUUGUGUGUUGAGAAAUGAACUAAAUGUGCUUGAUCUUUCUAACUUCACUAAAAAAUGAAGUUGUGUGUUGUUCUUGUAAAUAGUUUUUUGUUUAUGCAUAUCAUGCAUACCAAAAAUAAAAAUACAAAAAGAUUGUGAGUAUGGCUUGUCUAACAUGGUUAAGAUAACCCCCAUGUGUGUGUGAAAAAGCUUAACCUUGGAUCAAACUUGACAAGAAUUAGUUUCCUUUCAAGUAUUGCAUUGCACUUCAUAUCAUAUGCAUGCUUGUUUGAUCUACCAUUUCUUUUUGGUUAUGCUUUGAGCAUCCACUGUGUUCGUCCAUUGAUAGGGGGAGCAUUUAAAGCUCAUCAUGAUUUAGACCCCUCGCUUUAUGGCCAUAUGAUGCUCCUUGGUGCUUUCAUUUGACUAUUUUCAUAAAAACUACUAUGCCUAAGGCUAAAUAUUUUGUGAAAAUUUGAGGGUUUGAGAGAGGUUACUCAUACCAGUUCCAAUUUGUGUUUAUUUGACUCUUCUUGAAGUUGGAACUUGGUUGGGUGAAAGUCGGGCGAAGUUUCCUAUUGAAAAUCUAGGUGAAUGUGCACCAGAAGCUGCACCGGACGCACCCCUAGUGCGUCCGGUGUGGUGGGUUUCCUGGUCUGCACUCAUCGGACUUGCGCAUAGUGCACUGAGUGCGUCCGGUGAGGAGCAACCGGUGCUGCCUGAGGCAUGCCUUGAGGCACUGAACACUAGGUGAGCGUCCAGUGUGGAUCGUCCGGUGCUCGCACAGAUUUCAAAGCUCUCUGUGUUUUAGUCCGGUGGGCACCGAACACGUCCGGUGACCACUUAAGUGCGUCUGGUGCCCCUGUGGAGGCCGGAUAAAGCCCACACGCGCACGCAGUGGCUCAGCCAGUUCCUUUCUUUUCCCCGUGAGUUCGCCAUUCACCCGUUCCCUAACCCUUAGUCGUCGAUCUCGCUAUCGCCUAGGAUCUUCGGAUUUCUUCGGCGAUCUUCAACUCCCCUGCGCUAGUCCUCCCUCCUUGUGCCUCCUCUCUCGCUGGCGCACCCUAGAGGUCUGGAUCCGUGGCUAGAUUGUUUUGGGGUGAGUUGUUUCGACCUAUGCCCACAAGGUGCUUGAUCUUAUGUGACAAUGGAUUAGAACGUAGUUUCUGAUGACAUUCUCAUCCGUUCUACCCUUGUAGCACCUUGUGGAGUUGGUUCGCGUUCUUCGGCGGAUUCUGAUCUUUCAUUCAGAACAUGUCUCUUCGCAGGAUUGUGAGCAGUUUUUCAUCUAAUCUCAUCUUUGCUUGUGAUCUUUAGGGCUUUCUCGUCUCUAGCUAUUAAGUCUGCUUAUAUAUACUCUACCUAUUCUAUCUCUUGCAGCACGUUGAUCUCAGAUUGACAUUUGUCAGUGGCAGUUGAACUCGAGGCCAAGCUCGUGAGUACGGAUUGAGGCUAAGCCUCUUGAGUGUCAGCAGUCUAUUUGAGAUUAAGGUUUCUUGCAAUGGCAUAUUGCAAGAAUGUCAGUGGUCCGACAACAGGCAGUGGUGGCACCCCGGGUGGUGAUGGGGGAGAUGACAGACCCUGUCGCCUGACAGCUGCUGAGAAGGGAAAGGGCAAGAAGGUGAUGACCAAGAAGAGGAAGACCAAUGAUCGAGAGGCCGAGAUAGUAUUGAUGGUCCUUAAGUACGAAAUAUAAUCAUCAAAUAAAUAAAGAAAAUGAUCCAAAUGCAACCAACACCCAGACUUAGGGUUUUAUCUGACAGAAUUCCAUGAGUUUUGGUGUUUGUCUAUUUCUAUAGGGGGUUAUCAGGAAAUAUGGAGGAAAGGCCCACAUGUUGGGUUUACAUAGAGAUAUUAAUGUGCCGCGCAAUUUUCUAUCAUCUAGAAGACUCCAGAAGCCACGGGAACGAACGGGAAGGUGAUCGGGCCCGGGGCAGGGCGCCCGCCCUCCCCCCUUGGGCGCCCGCCCUGGUGCAGAGUCCAAUCAGGACCCGUCUCGCGGAUUACGCUCCACCGACCUAAAGGAUCAAGGAUAACAGUUCAAUCAAUGUCGGUUUGAUCCGACGACCCAGAUUCACUUGAGGGGACUAUAUAAGCAGACCCCCUGGCCCCUGGAGGAGAACAAGUUCAUCAUAGAGUUGAGAGGUGCCCUCGAAGGAUAACCUUUCCUCUAAAUAGACUUAGGGCUUAGCAUCCAAUGUGAGAGUAGACUAGAUCUACUAGAUUGAGAGAGAUAGAGUGGAGGUGUAGAUCGUAGGAAGCCCGGCCUGUCGGUGUCUACUCCGAGGUUGUACCUGUAGGAUCAAGUUCUCCUAACCCGAGGCUUGCUCCUAGGAUUCUUCAGUAAUUCGACUUCUAAAUUCUAGUAAGUUCUUGUUUUAUUGUUCUUUGGUUUAUGAGUUUACUUUAAUCUCUUCCGGUUGAGUUUAGAGUAAUCAUUGCUAGCAUAAACGUGGUGUUUGGGCUAGGGUACUCAUAGAUAUCCCCUGACUAGCUGGACCGUGGUAGUAGCGAGGAACGUGACAUUUCCGAGUUACCUUUGCAGCCCACAUCUCGUUAGCAGGACGGGUAGGGUUUAUAGGUUUGGGUCGAACAUCCUCUGUGGUGUCUAGAUUCUGUGAGCCUCCCCAAUAGAAUAGUAGAUCAUCCUUACCAAGGUUAGAACGAGACUACGGUUGUAGUCUUCUCUAUUCGUCGCUCACAUCUAAUCACAUUCUUGUAGCCUAAAGGGUAGUAGCAAUAGAUUUGGUUAGUCAGAUGCACGCUUUCUCCCAGUGGUAAAAAUAUAAAUACGAUACUCUGGAUAACCUCCCGGGUGAAGUGCUCACCGUUAUCCGUGCGCUUGCGGAUCAUUUCCUGAUGGCGUUACCAAAUAUCAACAAGCAUUUCUGGCACCGUUGCCGAGGAGAAAGACGGUUUGCUGAGAUAACUUUAAGUCUUGCUAUUAUCUUGUAUUAUACUUUUAUACUUUUAUUCUUUUAUCUUUUUAUUUUUUCCAUCUUUAUGGAUAACUCAAAUUCCACACCUAUUAUUGAAUUCUUUGCACCUUCAGGGACCAGCCAUAGACCAUGGGAGUCAACAAGUCCUUUCUUUGCCCCGAAUUAUGAUCUGUGUCUGGAGUUGAUUGCAAUAGGUCAAAACCAACCCUUUUCUAUAGCCGAGGCCCUAUCUUUUAAUCAUGAAGAUAAUGAACUUUUAGAUACACCUAGGGAAUCUUUUAAUCUUUCUAUAAAUUCUGGUUUAAACCUAGCCCUUCAAGACCAUGUUUUUCCUCGAUAUUUUCACAUUGGUCUUAACUAUAUAACCUUUGGUAGAGUUUUUUUUCUUUAUCUGUUAGUAAAGCAAGGUAUGUCUUCAUUCGUGGACAUCCUUCUUGCACUAGUCUUCAUAAAAAAUUCCUAGAGAUAGAGAAGGAAUCAUCUCCCAAACGAGGAAAGGAAGUUUCAAUAGCUGAUUUCCAAACAUUUCAAUCCCAUGAUUCGGCUAUCCAAUCCAAACUAGUAGUGCUCCAAAAUCAUCUAAGGGAAGAAGAAAUUCUACCUUUGGAAAUUCAUUUUGGGAGGAGCUUAAACUUCCUGCUUCAUAAGAGACCUUUGAGUGUAUAUAGUCUGAACCUUCCUAAGAAGGGAUCUCUUAGAAAGCAUCUCAAAACCAAUCCCUUUGAUGGACAUCUAGAAAGACUCAAGGAUGGCGUCUUAAGUGAUGCAAUAGAAGGAGAGCAAAACCAUUUAGAAAACAAUCUCAUCUUCUCCCCUUCUACGCCCACUUUUGAUGACUCAUUCAAACCUAUCUUUAAACCCAUCCUUGAGCCUAAUAAUUUCUAUUUUUCUCUUUCUCUUGAACCUCCCGAUGAUCCUAUGAAUCUCUCUAGACAUCCCAUGCAUAAGAGUCACCAAGACCACAAGGAGGAUCGAGAGAGCAACAUCAAUGGCUAGAGGGCAUUAAAAAUCCAUGUGCUAUCACCAUUGAAUGGAUGGAUAAAAUAAACUUGAGAGACAAUCCGAGAGGAAUUUUAAGCAUUUAUGAAGAAUCAUCGUUGGAGUUUGAGAAUGAGAGAAACAACAGUGAGCAUGGAAGUUAUUUCAUAAAUACCUCACCAAGUCCUUGCUCAUAUAAAACAUCUCCCCAAUCAAUUGGUCUCUCCAACCUUACCACAUUUGAGAUCUCCAACCCCAUCUUCCCUUUUUAUAAAAACUUUAAAAGGGCGGCUGUCGAUGUAUAUGUCUAUAAUAAAUAUUGCAGAUCUCGUUGAGUUGAUCUUGAUGUAGGUCAGUGUUGGAGGGGAAACCACUUCGCUGACAUAAAUUGAUGGUUUCCCAAGGACAAGCUUAGUGUCCUAAAACAAGCAAUUAUCAGAUCGUAACAUGAACUUCUAAUUAUUUGCAACAUUGCCUUGUGUAUUGAGCAUAUAAAGAUAAUUGUAGAAAUAUUCCUUUAGAAUUCUUGUCACUAACCUUUCUAGGAUUGGAGCAAGAAGAUCCGAGGAAUGACAAGCGCAAGGUAUGCUCAACCAAUCAUCAUGCAACAUUGAAUUAAAUUCAUCCAAUCUUGAAUUUUGCAAAAUUCAUGCUUGGGGGAGUACUUCACAUAAAAACAUCCUUUGCCAAGUUGCUAUGUUGGUUGUCCCUACCUUUGAGACAUGCUUGAUUUGUUAAAUACUAGUCACACUACUUCAUCUCCACUUGAGUAGAUCUCUAUAAAAGCCAUCAUGCUACCUUUGUUUAUCCUAGUAAGUGUUGGUUUGGAAGUACUGGACAUACUUCCAUUGGCAUUUAAAUUAAGCGUGGUGCUUAGGUUAAAUAGCCUUCCUUAAUCUGAUUAGACAUGGAGUCUAGUUUCAUUAUUGAACUAAAAACUGCUUGAGUAGGCAUUGGUAUAUUUUGUCGGACUAACCCCUGCAGGAAAACUUUCAAUAUCAACCUGGGAAGUCCUGAUAUACAAACUCACAUUGGAGAUAAAGGAGAAACAUGAAGUUUAACGAUUUGCACAAGGAAGGACAUAGCACAUUCAUCAUAGAGAGAUGAUCCAUGGAACGAGACAAAGAGUGCCACAAACACGAUGCAUAACCGCUAAGAAAGGAAAGCUUCCACAAGGUGAUACUGUACUAUCACUCUUCAAGUAAGGUAACAUCUUAAGGUACUUGACUAUCACUUUUAUAAGCUUCUCCUUGGUUCUAGCGUUCACAUAAAUUAAAGAGACAAACAUGUAUGAUUUAUAACUCCAAAUUAACCAACCCAACUGAUUCAGCAUGUUUAGUCCUUUAAUCUUUGUUUAUAGUACUACCUUCGUGAUCCCACACCCCUAAUCAUAUAAGCUAAAAUUUUGCACAUUCAAUCUUUGGAAGAUAUAAACAAAACAUAAAUAUAGAUUAUCUUUCCAUUAGGUCAAGCGAUUUGAUCUGACAAAUGUUUUAAAUGCUACACUCAUGAUCUUAUUAUCCAUCAACUUUGUCUUGCUCACUAUGCUUAAAGUUAGAGAAGAACAAAUACACUUUUGGUUCUGUUGGUGUUUUUCACCAACAUGGCCCAUGCACUUGAUCUCUGCCUUGUCUCUAUGAGCAGGUAUACUUCGAGCAAAACCUGAAGGAGUUUUACAACUCCCAGACUCCACCAAGUGAAGGGCUUGGAUCUACAAUCACAAACACACUGGAGAUAGUAGACACUCAGGCAAUCACUGCCCUAAGAUGCUUGAGGACGUAAACUACAACAACAACAACUACUACUACUACAACCGCCCUCAACAAAAUCAAGGUUGGAAUCAACAGAGGCCUAACUACUCAGAGAGGCGAUCUAGGACGCCCUGUCAUCCCGAUCUCCAUUGGCAUGGUGGACUUCCCAGAAGCACUCUGCGACUUUGGCUCCAACGUCAACAUUAUACCCAGGCUUGCAGAUCGGACACUAAGUUUCCCAAAGGGAAUAUUGAAGAACCUCUGCAUCCGAGUUGGUACCUUGUAUGCCCCAGUAGACUUCAUGGUGAUAGAGACUGGUACUGAUGAGAGGGCACCCAUCAUACUAGGGAGGCCAUUCCUGAACACCUCGGGAGCUGUCAUCUACGCUAGUGCUGCCAAGAUCAGUUUCUACAUCAAGGGGAGGAAGGAGACGUUUACCUUCAAGAACAAGACUACACAAAUCUCAGAGCAAUCCCGACAUGAACUAAGGAAGAGGACCAACAGGAGGAACAGGAACAAGCAAAUGUGGACCGAGUCAGCUAAGAUGGUCACUGCAAUUCAAGGAGGUCAAGAUCGUCGACUUAAGUCACCGUUUCUGACCAAAAAGGAUGACCCAGCUCCAGAUGGCAGAUCAGACAUUCUGAAAGGUUGAAGGUUAUUGACAUGGGAGAAGACGAGUAUGAUCCACCCAUCAUCCUUAAGAGACCGUUCCUCAGCACCGUUAAAGCAAUCAUCUACAUUGGAACCGGAGAAGUCCACAUGCACUUUCCCUCUAAGAAGGUACGCCACUAUUUUACUGACCCUAACUAUAUAGUUGAAGACUCUAAGCAGGUCAGGACAAGAAGAAGACGACGCAACCGCAACCAGAGGAGGCAAAUCAUCAAGGACGGAUGGGUAGACUACGAAGGAGAAGUGAUAAGGACUGAAGACAUACCACUUGAACAGAACUGUCUUGAGGAGACCGUAGCACUGAGUCAGGUGUGGAGAGAGAAGAUAGUUAUACAUGAAGAGGAGGCGCCGUCGGAACACCCGACUACGCCAUCCAGCGAAUCCCAGGACGACUGAGAAAACGGAGAGUCCCGUUCGGAGGACUUAAAAACACCAAACGCCUUGUCAAGAGGUAAACUUUGUAGUUAUCCUUUUCCUUUCAAUAGUUUGCUUAGUUAAUCAGGUUCAUGCUAGCUUGAAAAGAAAAUAAAAAUGUUAAAAAUAGUAAGCCCCAUGUGAGUAUGCUCAUGGCAUAAAACCCAUAAGUACAUUCACUGUGGUGGCAUAAAGACAAAAUAAAUAUAUUCCUGUCCUAUAAAAAUGAAAAUAUAAAAAUAAAUUUAUGAUCCUACCAAGUAAUAUUUAUUAGGAGGAAUCUCAAUAUGAUAAAGGCUAAGAGAUUUUAUGCUAACACUUAACCAGUUCCACAAAGCUUUGUUGUCUAUUUGAGCUCUACAGAAUUCAAGGAUCAAAAAAGACUAGCACACGGAGGACAUCCUAAUCACUGUCAAGGUACUGCUGACAUUCAAAUACACCUCCGCCACCUGCUAGCUACAUCAGAAGAAAUUACGUCAAAAUCCAGCUUGGGGGAGAGCAUCCCCAUUUAUCCAGCUAAGUGUUUCUACUCGCGUUUAUACUUUACUCAAAUAAUAAAAAGAUGCAUAAUCAUGAAAACCCAAAUAAAAUUUUUUGUGCUUAUAUCUUUGCUUAGUUUGCUAAAUAAAUAAAUAAAUAAAGUUUGCUAUGAACCCUCAUGAUAAGCUCUCACAUGGAAAUGAUAAAUAGUUGCUCUGCCAUGUACCAAUUUUUCAAGCUUGAGCUCUCUCUCAAGUUUAGGCAUAACUGUUAUCAUUUAAACCUGCUCUAAACCUAAACUUGUGGGAAGAGUACUUGAUCUGAAGUCUAAGUCGUUAACGGAUAUGAUAUGAGAAGGUUGAGCUGCUGUUUAUCUGUUCCUUGAGAUGCUAGAAUUCUGGAGAAUUUUAUCUUUGAAUAUCUUUAAAAUAACACAUGAUGAGUUCAUGUAUGAUGAGAGUUUAAAAUCCUACCACAACCAUAUAUACAUGCUUAUUAGACUAUGAACCAUACAUUUACUUUUUACUGCUUAUGAGCAUUGAGUGUGGUCAAGCUGUGUAGACCCUUAGGAGCUUGUCAUGCGGUUAAAAUCAAGAUCCACUUGCACAUUCACUCAUACAUGCUACUUCUACUCCGGAAGUACGCAUCCACAUACAUCCACUCAAUUCCAUCUCCAGAUUCACCUAAAAUUAUUCUACUCCUAAUUCGGGAGAUAAUAGCCAAAAACAUUCUCCUAUUUAUAUUUUUCCCUGUGAAAUAAAUACUCGAGUUAUCUUGGUUACUACCACUUGCUAUAUUAUUUCAGGAGAUGAGUGCUCUAAAAAAAAGAAGAGAAAGAGAAAAAAAAUACAAGGAAAUAAAAAGGGGCAAGUGCCCGGAACCUCGAAGGAAAGAAAAAGUGAGACGAGAGGUAAAAAUGGACAAGUGUCCGACAGUAGAAUUAGGAGUACAAGAUACCCACCUGAGAGAAAAGAAAAAAAAGAAAAUAGAGAGCAUCUCAUUCUCCUCAGAUAGCUUCAAAGUGCAAGAAAGGUAUGUAUCUCUUUAAAAGAGCAAAAGAAGAAUUAGACCUUCACCAUUGUUAUCACCAUCAUCCCCAUACACCAUUCACUCGCCACACAUGCACAUCUUGAUUUGACUUAUUGACUUGUUCUUCUGGAUCUAUGGUUUGACUAUGCAAUAAAUGUCUCCCACCUAUGAGCUCCAGAUAUCAAAACCUUAUUAGAGUAGGGUGAGAGAGAAGGCGCAAUAUCACUAUGCCUCAUACCACAAAUACUACAUACUUUGAGAGAAGGCAUAUAUCAUCACUGCCUUGGUAAGGAUCCAGACAUACCACAAAAGAGAGACUAGAGAGAGUCAUACAAGGAAUUUCUGAGUUUUAUUUUGAAAAUCUGCAAAAAUUCAAGAGCUAUAGUUGAUCAAGAACAAGAGACAUGGCGCUUGACUUGACUAUUCUAUCUUUUAACUGCUCGAGACACAAGUGACGGUUGGAAGCCCCAUGGUGAAAGUUAAAAUGAGUAAGUUUUAAGUCUUAACAGUUUACUCUAACUCAGAGAUGAGAUCUUGCUUGAAUGCAUGUGUACUUUUAAGGCAUGAAACCUCUGCAGAAACUUUUGAGUCUAUCCUUGCUCAAGGACGAGCAAGAGGUAAGCUAAGGGGAGUUUGUUGACGGUCCUUAAGUACCAAAUAUAAUCAUCAAAUAAAUAAAGAAAAUGAUCCAAAUGCAACCAACACCUAGACUUAGGGUUUUAUUUGACAGAAUUCCACGAGUUUUGGUGUUUGUCUAUUUCUGCAGGGGGUUAUCAGGAAAUAUGGAGGAAAGGCCCACAUGUCGGGUUUACAUAGAGAUAUUAAUGUGCCGCGCAAUUUUCUAUCAUCUAGAAGACUCCAGAAGCCACGAGAAGAAAGCGGAGACCGAACGGGGCCAGGCACUGGGCGCCCGCCCAGUUGCCCUGGGCGCCCGCCCCCUGUUGGAGUCCAAACAGGACUCUCUUUCGGGAUCAAUCUCCACCAACCUAAAGGAUGAAGGACAACCGUUCAAUCAAUGUCGGUUUGAUCCAACAACCCAUAUUCACUUGAAGGGACUAUAAAACCAGACCCCCUGGCCCCUGGAGGAGAGAGCCUCUCAGCCCUGAUUCAUUAUUACUCAAGGGAGAAGAAGCCCCUGAUCAAGAUUAGAGCCACCACAUCAAUUAGACAUCUAGAUUAACAUAGCUACAUAGGAUUAGAACUAGAAGGAGUCAAUCUUCGAUUGGUUUCUGGAUCUAUCAAGAGGAUUCUUGGUAAUUCUCUAAUUAUGCUUCUAAUUGUUCUUCUAAUUAUCUUUGUUCUUCAAUAUUAUGAAUAUGACUUUGUUCUACUUCAAUAUAUUGCUUAUGACUUUGCUCUACUUGUUUAUAUUCAAGAUUAUAUUGUUCUUAGUUUAUCAUGGUUAUAUACUUGGCUUAGUUAGAUUGGAUCUAUAUACAUGUUUAGGAUCGUAUAGCGUUUAUCCAUCAGAUCCAUGGGUAAAUGAUAGAUAUUGUGUAGGCGUGGUGCUUAUACCGUAUUUAUCUGCGAUUGUACCCAAUAUGCCAGAUCGUGGGGUAGUUCGUGAUAGUGACAGCUUCAUUGAUUCUUAUAUAGUCCCCCUCUCGUGUAUUGGGCUAGCAGAGCAACAUUAUUACAGGGGAGUGAUUGCUAUGUUUCUCAUUUACCUUGCUAAUAUCACUAUGCAUGGGCGUAGUCUUGUCUCGCAAUGAUUGCUAAGUAUGCUUGCACUAACUAUGAUAAUGCUAGACUAUAUAGUUGAGAAUAACUUAGGAAAUAUUCUUGUAGUUCGUUCUAAUUCCAUGCUAAUGACUUUCUAGAGUAUCUAAUUGAAGUGCUUAUCAUAUUUAUAUGUGGCUAGUUAUGCUGAUCAGAUUAAUUAUCUUUGUCACUAUUCAUUACUUUAUAUAUCUUUUAUGUGACACUUACCCCUGUAUGAAAGAGUUAGAUAUAAUGUUCUCAAUUAUACAUGCAAUGAUAGAUACUCAAUCUCAUAUUCUAUUCUGUAAUCAAUAUUGAUGAUUGCUAAUCUCUUCCCAGUGGUAAAAAUAUAAAUAACGAUACCUGGAAUACUUCCCGGUUAAAAUGCUACAUCGGCAUUAAUCUGUGCGCUUGCAGAUCCCAUUCAUUAUUUAUUUAGAAGAGCAAUUGCAUAUUUCAAUACCGCGUCUCUCAUGUCAUGCUGGGGAUGACAACUUGGCUUAAGUGGUAUGAGGGAUAGGUUUGGCAUUUUUGGCACCGUUACUAGAAUUAGAAAACUAAGUCUACUUUUGGUAAUGAUGUUAAGAAUACCCAACACUAGUCAGCCGACUCCACCUCCACUGCAGGCUCCUGUAGCCUUUACUUUACCGGUCACCACUACCGAGCGCUUGUCCUCGUCAGUAGUGUAGUCUGAGCAACUAGCUCCAUCUUCUACAGUACCAGAGACAUCAACGACAGCUACAGAGUCAGUGCCAGCCUCCUCAGUAGGACUUGAGACUCCAGCACAGACCCAGACAGUCAUAGAGCCCACUGAGCAGACCCAGACCACUACUCCAGCACGUCCAGCUUCAGAGGGUCACUCCGCCUCUUCAGAGUCUACAACAAAUGGCACGGAUGAUGAUGUAGCCUAGUUUUAGGCAGUGCCAUGGGACUCCUCUGCUGCCUCCACAUUCUUCGUCUUAGGUUUUUGGCGCUUGAUGCCAAAGGGGGAGAGAGAGAGUAGAGUAUGAUAGAGAUAGGGGGAGCUUGUGAGAGGGCUUCGAUUCUUUUGUGUGCUUCAUCAUGCAUCAUAUUAACUUUUCAUGCAUAUUUGUUAGAUACUUUAGUUAGUGAGAUACUCUCAUAUGGUUGUGAGACAUGACAUGUGCUUCAUUGUGAUAUAUUUAUGUCAUGUGUUUGGCUCAUAUUACUUUGCUUCUGUGUCUUUACUCCGAUUUAUUAUGAGCCAUAUGUUGUUAUAUCCUGUUGAAUACAUCUUGUUCGCACACGAACACGUCACGUGUGCCCCCAGCGACGAGCGCGAUGCGCAAGACACGUCGCAAGGGGAGUCUCGUCGGGAGCGCGAUACGCAAGACACGCCGGCGAGAGCUCUUGAAACCCGACACCCCACGCUCCCGGGAGGGACCCCGUCAGGGAGAACGGCGGUGAUGGGCUGCCCUAGGUCAGCCUGACUGCCCCUAGGACCUUGUGCUCGCUGUCGCAACGAAGUAGACGGCAACGAAGAACAAGAAGCAAAAACUAGAGAGAAAAUAGUAGAUGCAAAAAUAAUGUACUAGAUUGGUAUGUCGAUUGUGUGUUGUCAAUCGGCCAUCACCCUUUAUAUUUAUAUAUAGGGCGGCUGGUCUUUCCACGAGUUACAACAAGAUCCGAACAGGGUACAAAGUCUUAACCUUCUUUUCCUAUUCGGUCAUACAGAAUCACGUACGCGCAAAUGUGAUAUGCAUGGAUUCUAGCUCCGACUGCAGUACUUCCUUGGUCGACACCAGCAUGUCCAAAAAUAACUCACGCCAUCAUGCAUGGAAUCCAUGCAAUAAUCCACUUUGUGCUCUGAUUGGUUUCUGCUCGUUCCUUUUUAACUCCAUGCAAAUACGUGAGUACCCUUCUGCAUAGUAACCUGAUCGGACUCCACUACAUGCAUAUCGGUAAGCAAAUCCAAUUCCUCAUGUCUUUGAUAAUGGCAUCCAAAAUCUUCCAUAUAUUCUGGAAGGCGCAGACCAAAGCUGAAGCCCAGACAAAUUAAUUCAUGCUUAAGCCUGUUGCUUCUGGACAGAGCAAACAUACUGUCCGACAAGAGAUCAGUCAUUGAGUCCUGUCUAACUUUUACUGAAACUGCACGCACGCUGCCGUGUUCAUCUGUCGUGCUUCAUUGCACGUCUGAAUAUUUGCCUUGGUAAUGAUCUGCACAAAAUGUGCUGCAGCCGGACUCCCGACUCAAUAUACAUGACACCUCCUCAUAGUCUAGAACUCCCUUCUAUUCUUGUAUUUUCCGUGUAUAUAUCUUGCUGAUUUGCCAUACAUGUGCUCCCUUUCUUUCAUGCAUAUAUGUUAGCCACUUCAAGUAUGUCUUCCAUAAUAUUUUGUUGUCCACUUCUGAUUAUUCAAGAAAGUACUCAUAACCAGCCAGCAGAUCAGAUUAGUCGGCAAUGAGCUGUUGGUGAUUUAGAUCAUCAACCUAAAAUGCACUCAAAUCAUGUUGAUCGAAAUUUGAACUCAGCUAUCUAAGCUGCAUAACUAUAAACAUUUGGACAAAUUUGAGUAUCAACACAUGCCCCCCUGUUUUUUUGGCAAAGCUUGCGUGCCAGAAAAUAAAAAUCAUUUGCUUUAAAACUAAGGACGAUGUCAACACACCCAUCGGCCUUGUUUAUAUCGUUCUAACGGCGAUAUUAAAAUAUCGGCCAACAUGUUUAUUUUGUUCUAAGGGCGAUAACAAAGUAUCGGCCAUACAUGCUUAAGCUUCUUGCCACACGCUUGGAUGAAACUUCUUCAAAUAUUUGCCAUUGAGAGCACGAGGCAGCAAAGUACCUUUCAAUGACUCUACUAAAUAUGAAUUUCCAAGAACCACUCUUGCAAUUUUGAAAGGACCUUCCCAACUUGGAGACCACUUCCCGAACUUAUUAUCCUUCGAGCCAAAUGGUAGAAUCACUUUCCACACUAGAUCACCAACCUGAAAGCUUUUUAAUUUAACUUUCUUGUUGUAUGCUCUUGCCAUCCGUAGCUUAUCUCUCUCAAUAGCUCUCAAUGCUUCUAAUCUCUUAUCGGCAACUUCGUCAAUGUUGUCCAUCAUUAAAUUAUGGAAAUCCACCGCCGAUAGGUCAUUUUGCUUGGCCAAUCUCAAGGCAUCCAAAUUUACCUCCACGGGCAAAACAACCUCCUGUCCAUACACAAGCUCAUAUGGAGUUACUUUAGUUGCACCAUGCCUUGAGAUCCUAUGCGCCCAAAGGGCUUCAGACAACACCUCAUGCCAUCUUCUAGGAUUAUCUUCAAUCUUCUUCUUGAUGAGCUUGAUCAAAAUUUUAUUUGUAGACUCUGCUUGUCCAUUGGCUUGGGCAUAAUAUGGAGAGGAAUUCAGCAACUUUAUCUUAUAUAAUUCGGCAAAAUCUCAGACUUGUGAUGAUAUAAAAGAAGACCCUUGAUCUGAAGUUAAUGUUUGAGGAAUGCCGAAUCUAUGUAUAAUGUGCUCAGUUAUGAAUUGAAUUACCUCCACAUGCAUCAUAUUUUUGAGAGGCACUGCUUCAGACCACUUGGUGAAAUAAUCAGUAGCAACUAGCACAAACCGAUGCCCCUUUGAUGAUGGAGGAUGAAUCUGUCCAAUAAAGUCCAAUCCCCAACCUCUGAAUGGCCACGACUUGACAAUAGGAUGCAACAUAGCAGCAGGAGCUAACUGAAUAUUUCCAAACUUUUGACAAGCUUCACACCCCUUGUAAUAUCUGAAGCAAUCAUUAAUCAUUGUCGGCCAAUAGAAACCAGCACGUCACAGCAACCACUUCAUCUUGUGUGCUGACUGAUGUGUACCACAUAUGCCUUCAUGCACCUCUCCCAUAGCAACUCUUGCUUGGUCCUCAUCCAAGCACUUCAAAAGAAUGCCAUCAACAGUUCGGCGAUAAAGAUCACUGUCAAUCAAUAUGUACUUGAAAGCCAUCUGCCGAAUAGUCUUGUCCACCCUCUUGCUAGGAUCUUGCAAAUAAUUAACAAUGGGCUUCCUCCAAUCUUUAUCAUGAUCUGCACAAGUUUCAAAAUUAGUGGCCGAACCGGUGGGCUGUGGUUCGGCCUUGCCUACGUUAGCAACAUAAGACAUCGGCUCUUGAGAGAAACAAAACACGCCAUGAUGAACGUGAUAGCCGGAUGCUUGCUGUGCCAACUCAUUUGCUCUGCAAUUUUCAUGUCUAGAUAUAUGAGCAAUACUAAAGUAAUCCAAGGUAGUAAUGAUAUCUAGACAUGUAUCAAGAUAAACAUUAAGUGAUUCGUCGAAACAUUGAAAAACCUUAGAUACUUGCUGCACUACUAACAACGAAUCACCAAAAGCCUCAAUAUGCAUAGCACCUACAGCAACCAACAGCUCUAGCCCGAAUAACAAAGCUUCAUAUUCGGCUUGAUUAUUUGUGCAAAAGAAUUCUAAGCGGCAUGAGGCUUCAAAAACAGCACCAUGUGGAGAAAUAUAAACAACACCAACACCUUGGCCAUUGCCACAAACUGAACCAUCAAAAUAUAAUCUCCAUGGUGCUGAAGAAACCAGGUCCAAAUCAGUAGCAUGCCUAUCAUCAAUCUGAUGCUCAACAAUAAAAUAAGCAAUAAUUUGGCCUUUCAUAGCUUUCAAAGGUUCAUAAGCCAAAUCAUAUUCAAUUAAAGCAUAAGCCCACUUACCAAUCCUACCACUGAGAAUUGGUCUAUGCAACAUAUAUUUAAUGACAUCAUUUUGGCAUGCUACUGUGCAAGCACUAGAUAAUAAAUAAUGUCUCAACUUUGUGCAUGCAUAAUACAGCGAAAGGCAUAAUCUUUCAAUUAAAGUGUACCUUGUUUCAGCAUCUAAUAAACACCGACUUAGGUAUGCAAUAACAUGCUCCUUUCCUUCAGUUUCUUGUGUCAAAACAGCACCAAUUACUCCAUCUUCUGCUGCAAUAUAAAGCUUAAAUGGUUGUCCAUAUUUAGGUGCUCUCAAUACCGGUGGAGUAAACAAAUAAUGCUUGAUCUUUUCAAAUGCUUCUUGCUGUUUUGUCCCCCAAGUGAAAUCAGUGUCAUCCUUCAACCGAAGGAUAGGUGUAAAAGCAUCAACUUUCCUUGACAAGUUAGCUAUGAAUCUCCUCAAAUAAUUGACCUUGCCAAGGAAUUUUUGCACAUCUCUCUUACAUUCAGGAAUCUGAAUUUUCUGGAUAAUGUUAAUCUUCUCAGGAUCUAUUUCUAUGCCAUACUCAUGAAUAAUGAAUCCUAAUAACUUUCCAGCCGAUACACCAAAAGCACACUUUAAAGGAUUCAUCUUCAGAUUAUAUUUUCUCAUUCUAUCAAAAGCUAAACGCAAAUCAGCUGAAUGUGGUUCAAUAGCUUCCGAUUUGACAACAAUAUCAUCAAUAUAAACCUCCAAGAUGACCCCAAGUAAAUCAUGAAAGAUUAAAUUCAUAGCUCUUUGAUAUGUAGCGUCAGCAUUCUUCAAACCAAAUGUCAUUACUACCCACUCAAAUAAGCCAAGAAAACCGGGACAGCGAAAAGCCAUUUUGGAUAUGUCCUCUUCGGCCAUAAAAAUCUGGUUAUACCACGCGUUACCAUCAAGAAAACUAAUAAUUUUAUGUCCAGAAGCAUCGUUAAUAAGCAUAUCAGCAUAGGCAUAGGAUACUCAUCUUUGGGUGUAGCUCUAUUCAAAUCCCUGAAGUCAAUGCAUACCCUUAAUUUGCCGGAUCCUUUCUUCUCUACAGGCACAAUAUUGGAGAUCCAAUCAGCAUACCUGCAAGGUCUAAUAAAGUUAGCUUUUAGCAACCGAUCGAUCUCCUCCUUGAUCCGGUCAUACAUCUUGGGAUUGAACCUUCUAGCCUGCUGUUUGAAAGGUCUAAAACCACUCUUAAUGGGCAGCCGAUGUUCUACUAACUCUCGGCUCAAGCCAGGCAUCUCAUGGUAUUCCCAAGCAAAGAUAUCGACAUACUCUUUUAAUAGCUCGAUUAACUUCAACUUGUAAUCGGCUUUCAGAUUUUUAUUUAUAAAAGUCGGCCUAGGAAAUGAUCCAUCACCAAUGUCUAUCUUCUCUAAUGGAUCAACCGAUGUAAAACCCUGUCCUAGCUUAUCCAUAUUUUCUAGCUCUUCUAUUGACUCAUGCAUAUUAUUUUCUUGAGACCGAUAAUUUUUAAGCCGCUUUUGCAGCCAAUCUAAGCUAGGAUCCAUCUAUUCAAAAUAUAUUUUUGAGCCGAUCACCACCAACCGGCUUUAACAUAACAGGCACAAAACCAUUUUUUGUAGCACUAAGGAAAUCAAACUCCGGAAGAUCACUGCGUCCCGUCAAACAAGUUGCUUCAGGAUGUUGCCAAUACACCAUGGCAUCGGCCAAGGCAAGACAAACCGAUGUAUCUGCGUAAAUAAUCUCCACCUCGUCCACAACCCAUUAGAUCAGAAAUUGGUGCAUGGUAGAUGGCACACAUUGGUUGGCAUGAACCCAAUCACGGCCUAAAAUCACAUUGUAAUUACCAAAUAUCUCAGCCACAAAGAACGCAGUAGACAAUGUCUUGCUCCCAACCGUGAGCUCCACAUAAAUAACUCCUUUGGACUCUGUCGGUUCUUUCCCUUCAAUGCCAUUUAGUACCAUAUUAGUCUUCUUCAAGUCUUCAUCUCGCAACCCCAAUCUCUUGAAAACUGAAUAUGGCAUAAGGUUGAUCACAGCCCCACCAUCAACAAGCAUUCUAGCAACCGGUGAUCCAUUAAUGUGACCCUUGAUGUACAAUGGUUUCAAGUGCUUCACAGGUUCUUUAUGCUUCUCAAAGAUAGCAUUCUUUGGACCAAAAUCUAGCUGGGCUACUUCUCUUUCCUCAUCAACAGCACGAUACUCAGCGGGUAAGUAAUAAACCAUAUUAAUAUCCAUACCUUCCGUGCUGGGUGUCGGUUCAAAAUCCACCAUCUCUUCGUCGUCUCCUAAAGUGAAUAUAGAUGUUUGUGAUGAAGGAGAUGUUGUAGGUGACAUGGGUAAGGUGGAAAUAGCUUCAGACACUUCCAGAAUUGGAGUAACAGCUGCUGGAACAGGUGGAGGUGUUGCUGUUUUUUCAUCAAUCUUAGGCUUCCACACUUGUUUUGGAUUGAUGACGGGCCGAAAUAAGUUGAAGAAUUCAUCCCUGUACUUCUCGCUCUUUUCCUCCUCCUUUUGCUGAGUUCUCAUGCGCUGCAACCUCCUUUUCUUGGUCUUGGAUAAGCCGAGAGGACACCACCUUGGCUGGGUAUACUUAGGAUCAAUUUUCUUGGUGCUGCUGGUACUAGCUUCAUGAUUAUUAGCUGCUGAAAUUGGCUGCACAGCAGCCACAACACCACCAGAUUUAGCCGGGUUAUCAACAAUGAUCGGCCCUUUACCCAGCUCUUUGGUCUGUAUAUCUUCGGCACCAAUUUUGAUAAUGUUGGCCCUUGUUGACCUCUCUUCUUUCUUGCUUGCUGAUUCUGAAACUUCAGCAUGUGAUGAUUUACGACGCCACUCCUGUUUCAUGAUCUUCUUCUUUGGAGAGGCUUGUGAUGGCCGAUUAAUACCACUGUCCAAAUGGCCUUUUGUAGAAUGAGUUAGCCUCUCAAAUACAGAUCUCCUAGGUGCUGCCCACCCAGGAUGAAAAGUAUAUGGAGCCAUCCGGGGCUGCUCCCAUCCUCCAUAAUAAUUUCUAGCAUAAUAUGGCACAUUGGGAGACGGCACCAUCCACAGUGCUGGAGCAUGUGGUCUACAUGGACCAUGUUGAUGCUGAAAUUGAUGGCGUGGGGGUGACCUUGGACGCUUCAAUUGUAAUGCCCGAUUAGAGCUAGAAUCAGCCACUUGUUUAGCAUACUUGGACAGCAGCAUAUCAAAUGUUGGCUUAACUUUCUUCUGCAGCACCUUUGCCUCAUUCACCUUCCACUUGCCAACCUCUGGACUUUUGGGCUUGAUGAAUUUUGCAUGACUUCUUUGCUGCACUUGCCCCCCAGGUAUAGUGAUUUUCAAUGUCUCCUUGCCAUCGGGGGCCUUUUCAACCAUAACCCUUUUUCCCAAAACUUUAUCAUCGGUGGCUAUGACUCUAGGUUCGCCGAUAACAAUAUAUGACUUUCCUUUAGCAGCUUCAGCUUGUUCAGGCCGAAGUAACACCUUCUUGCCCUCCAAAUCUAAAGUAUUCAUGGGAAAGGGAGUCUUGUCAACUUGCAUUUCAGCAAAACUCAAUCGUCCAUCAUUAAUAGCCGAUUGGAUCUGUCGUCGAAAAACAUUACAAUCAUUAGUAGCAUGAGAAAAAGAAUUAUGAUACUUGCAAUAAGCUCGCCGUUUCAGCUCCUCGAAUGGUGGUAAAGUAUGUGCAAUUUUAAUGAUCUUAUCUUGCAGCAAAGCAUAAAAAAUCUUAUCACAUUUACCAAUAUCAAAAGUGAACUUUAUUUCUUCUUCACGAUUCUUGCGAAUUGGCUUAAGAGAAUUGCAAGCAUAUGGUUUGGCCUUUGAAGGCCAAACAAAUUCAGCAGCAUAGACAUCAACUUCAUCAUCCGAACUAGAAUUAUAAUCAAUAAGAUGCAUACGAGAACGAUCAGUUUUAGUCUUAUAACUAUCUUUAACAUCUUUGCUUCGGCUCUCUUGAGCCAAAGCCCGCUGCAAGACUUGGUUAACAGUUAGAAAUUCAUAGCCUUCUAAUUUUUCUUUAAUGUGAGAUUUAAAACCAUUAGCAUAAGAUCAGCCAAAUCUCUUUCUCCUAUCACAAGAUUAUAGCACCGGUUUUUAACAUCUCUAAAUCUUUUAAUAUAAUCUGAAACUGACUCAUCAUGCUUUUGCCUAACUGAUGUAAGAUGUGAUAACUUAAGUUCAUUAUUGCUGCUGUACAAAUGAUCGUGAAAUUUUUGUUCUAGCUGCAACCAUGUAGUAAUAGAACCAGGACACAAAGCAGAAAACCAUGAAAAAGCUGUACCAGUUAAAGAUAAAGGAAAUAAACGAACUUUCAGCUCAUCCAUAGAACCCGCUUCACCUAAUUGAGCAAGAUAUUGACUAACGUGCUCCCAUGUAGUUUCGCUAUCCUCACCAUUAAAUUUAGAAAAAUUCAGGAACCUUAUAACCUUGAGGAUAUGUAAUAGCAUCAAAAUAAGAUGGAUAUGGCUUUUGAUAAGUACGUCCCCUAACCUUUGGCUCAAUUCCAAAGGACUCCACAAACAUCUUAUGCAGAUCAUCUUUCAUUUUAGAUAAAGCUUCUUCCAUAUUGGCCGAAGCUGCAUAUGGUUGUGGCAAAGGACCUACAGGACUGCUAGUUACUGUUGUAGUUUGUAAUUGUGGCAUCGGCGGUGAAACAAACUGUGGCAAGGACCUUGGCAUACUCGUAUUUGCUGCCGAUAUUCCAAAAGGUGGUAUGCUCAUAAUAGGUUCAGGAUAUGUGGGCAUUACCAUUAACCCACCUCCAGGUUUAGCUUGCUGUCCAGGAAAGAAAUUCAUUGGCAUGCCAAAUUGGGGUUGCUUUAUUGGUGUUUCAGUCGCCGAUGAAUUAAUUGGCUCUGUAAUUGUUGGACUUUCUAUACUAGCAGAUGUACCAAUGUGACCAAUAGAGGAUGUAGGUGUAUUAUUUUUAGCAUUGAUAAUCUCUGAAAAUAUUGGCAUACAAGCUUGUUUCCCUCGGUGAUAUGAUAAUUAAGAACAGCUGUUUGUUCAGGAGUAAAUGCACCACUUACAGGGAUUUCUACCUGUUCCUUGCUGUGUAGAGGAGGGAACGUGAUGUCGCCAAACGCUGUGAUGUUGCCUAGACGAUUCUUGUUGAACUUGGCGAGGAACUUGUCCAGCUCUUCCUCAUCACGUUUCUUCUUGUAUGCCUCAUAAGCUUGGCGAUGCUCUUCGGACAAUUCAUCAAAGGUAGGCUUGAUGAUGUUGUCGGUGCUGAUGUCCACGGGCUUUGGGAUCUUGUUGCCACCAGACAUGAUGGACAGCAGCGUAGAUGUACCUUGAUUUUUUCUUUCUUCCCCAGCAGAGUCGCCAAAAAGUGUGUUCACACACGAACACGUCACGUGUGCCCCCGGCGACGCGAUGUGCAAGACACAUCGCAAGGGGAGUCUCGUCGGGAGCGCGAUACGCAAGACACGCCGGCGAGAGCUCUUGAAACCCGACACCCCACGCUCCCGGGAGGGACCCCGUCAGGGAGAACGGCGGUGAUGGGCUGCCCUAGGUCAGCCUGACUGCCCCUAGGACCUUGUGCUCGCUGUCGCAAUGAAGUAGACGGCAACGAAGAACAAGAAGCAAAAACUAGAGAGAAAAUAGUAGAUGCAAAAAUAAUGUAGUAGAUUGGUAUGUCGAUUGUGUGUUAUCAAUCGGCCGUCACCCUUUAUAUUUAUAUAGGGCGGUUGGUCUUUCCAUGAGUUACAACAAGAUCCGAACAGGGUACAAAGUCUUAACCUUCUUUUCCUAUUCGGUCAUACAGAAUCACGUACGCGCAAAUGUGAUAUGCAUGGAUUCUAGCUCCGACUGCAGUACUUUCCUUGGUCGACACCAGCAUGUCCAAAAAUAACUCACGCCAUCAUACAUGGAAUCCAUGCAAUAAUCCACUUCGUGCUCUGAUUGGUUUCUGCUCGUUCCUUUUUAGCUCCAUGCAAAUACGUGAGUACCCUUCUGCAUAGUAACCUGAUCGGACUCCACUACAUGCAUAUCGGUAAGCAAAUCCAAUUCCUCAUGUCUUUGAUAAUGGCAUCCAAAAUCUUCCAUAUAUAUUCUGGAAGGCGCAGACCAAAGCUGAAGCCUAGACAAAUUAAUUCAUGCUUAAGCCUGUCGCUUCUGGACAGGGCAAACAUACUGUCGGACAAGAGAUCAGUCAUUGAGUCCUGUCUAACUUUUACUUAAACUGCACGCACGCUGCCGUGUUCAUCUGUCGUGCUUCAUUGCACGUCUGAAUAUUUGCCUUGGUAAUGAUCUGCACAAAAUGUGCUGCAGCCGGACUCCCGACUCAAUAUACAUGACACCUCCUCAUAGUCUAGGACUCCCUUCUAUUCUUGUAUUUUCCAUGUAUAUAUCUUGCUGAUUUGCCAUACAUGUGCUCCCUUUCUUUCAUGCAUAUAUGUUAGCCACUUCAAGUAUGUCUUCCCUAAUAUUUUGUUGUCCACUUCUGAUUAUUCAAGAAAGUACUCAUAACCAGCCAGCAGAUCAGAUUAGUCGGCAAUGAGCUGUUGGUGAUUUAGAUCAUCAACCUAAAAUGCACUCAAAUCAUGUUGAUCGAAAUAUGAACUCAGCUAUCUAAGCUGCAUAACUAUAAACAUUUGGACAAAUUUGAGUAUCAACACAUCUCACAUAUUUGGAUGGAGGAUGUUAGACUUGGUUGAUAUAAGCAUGUCUAAUCUCUUUAUGUUCUUAUUGUCUCUUAUAGAAACCAAGUCAUUUGAAAACUUCACUUCUUUCAUACUCGAGGUCAUUGUCAUCAAUUACCAAAAAGGGGGAGAUUGAAAAGCAUCUAGGCCCCUAAUGAGUUUCGGUGAUUAAUGACAAUGUUGAUUACUAUGACUAACGUGUGUUUUGCAGAGGUAAAGUCAUUUGUGUUAGGUCAUGGUAAUGGUGAUCGAUGGACUAGAUCAUUCAUGCCGACUUAAUGGUGGAAAUCGUUUUGGUUUUCAAAGGAUGGUUGGACAUCAUCGGGACUAGACUAGGUCUAAGUGCCACAUGGUGAAGAAGGGCACUUAGAGUAGUUUAGGACUUUGUUUUCCUUUGACCGUAUUAUUAAGAGGGGCAUUGAAUGGGUAGCUUGACCUUGGCAAGGCUUUAGGUUUAGGUGUGGUGCACACUUAGUAAACCUAGCACUAGGUAGCUCUGAAAAAGUCCUUAGACGAGAGGAACAAACUUCAUUUUGGAAAGAUCGCGUUUCGAUGAAGUUUGGAUGCAUAGGUAGGCACCGGACGCUGCACCGGACGCUAUGUGAGUGCGUCUGGUGAGGUUGACUCGAGUCAGAGUGACUGGGUGCCUAGGGUUAGGCACCGGACGCUCGCACUAGACUCACUAGGGAGCGUCCGGUCCCAUACCUAGGGAGGUCUGCACUAGACCAGGGCACCGGACGCUAGCACCGGUCUCACCGGGGAGCGUCCGGUCCUAUACCCAGGGAGGGUGUAAAUUUACCCUCACACCGGACAGUGUCACCGGACCCAUUGAGGGUGCGUCCGGUGCUUUGUCACAGAGAGUAUAGUUAGCCAUUAAUGUGUCACCGGACGCUCGGUGCAGUGCGUCCGGUGCAACAUUACCAGCGUCCGGUGCUCUCGUUUUAAGUGUAAAACGGUUGGCCGGCCCUUGGACUUGAUGGAAAGUAUUCAUACUCCUCCACCUCGUCCAUGGGAGCUCUCUUGCCCAUUUGAUCAGUUGAGAAUCACCUUGUGGUGCAAGAGAGAAGCAAGAGCCUAGAGAGGAUUGAGAAUUGAGAGAUUUCUUGAGUGAAUCCUUCUCUAGUUGAGUUCCAAGAGUCAAGUGUGCAUCCACCACUCUCUAUUGCCUUGUUUGGGUCAAGUGAGUGUUCAUUGCUUGUUACUCUUGGUGAUCGCCAUCACCUAGACAAUUUGGUGGUGAUUGGAGGCACGAUGACUGCCCGGAGUUCUUGUGGGUGGCUUGUGUCAAGCUUGUGAGCGGUUGUGGGUGAUUCACUGCGACGGAGUGUCGAAGAAUCAGCCCAUAGAGAGCACUUGGUCCUUGCAUGGACCAAGGGGGAGCAAGACCCUUGCACGGGUGCUCCAACGAGGACUAGUGGGGAGUGGCGACUCUCCGAUACCUCGGUAAAACAUCACCGCAUUCCUCUUACUCUACUCCUUUACUUUCUAGCAUUUACCUUGAGCAUUUACUUUAUUAGAAUUGCCAUGCUAGAAUAGGAUUGGAACUAGGUUGCAAAACUUUUUAUCCGGUAGCUCUCUAGUCACACUAGGCUCAAGGGGUUGAAUUGGAGCUUAUAGGUUGCUUAAAUUUUUAAAGAAUCCCAAUUCACCCCCCUCUUGGGCAUCUUGAUCCUUUCACUAAGGAACAUCAGGAACAAAGUAAUCAUCUCCUCGUAAUUAGUGUCUGUAGAAAUUACAUUCAGAGGGUGGACUAUAGAGGACUCAAUGGGUAUAUCACCCCCGCGAUCUACCACACGACCCAAAAUAUAGCAUGCAAACGCAGGCAAACACAAUAUAGGCACCACGCCUACAUAAUAUCGACCACUCACCCGUUAUAUCAAAGAGUGAGUGUUAUACAAACAUAUAUUUGAAUAUAAAUCUAAACCAACUAUGCCAAGCAUAUAAUCAUAAUAGACUAAGAAUAAUGUAAUUAAGAAUAUAAGCAAGUAGAGCAAAGUCAUAUCCAAUAUAAUAGAAUAGAGCAAAGUCAUAUUCAUAAUAUGAUGAAAUAAUAUAUAUAAUGAUGAACUAGAAUAAAGUAGGAGAAAGAUUACAAGAAUUACUGAGUAUCUCUAACAGAUGUGGAAACCAAGCAAUGCUUGCCUCCAACUAGAUCUAUUCUAUGUAGCUAUGCUUCUAAACUUGGAGCUCUAGAGAGAAGAAGGUAGAGAAUGAAUUCUAUGAAUGAGAAUGAUUAUCUCUUCUAAUCAAUGCCUCUAACCCUAGGGUCUACCCCUCCUUAUAUAGGCUGGUGGGGUGAACAAUGACCCUUGGAUCAAACCGACUUAAUGGACGAAGAUCCUUGCUCCUCAAAGGCAGUUAUAGCUCAAUCCAUGAGACUGCUCCUGAUUGUUCAGGAGGGCACGGCGGCCGCCCCCUCUCAGCACCCUCCCCCGGACUCCGCUCGUGUUCUGCUUUGUUCUGGUGGAUUCCCGACUCUUCUAGAUCCUUCUUUUGUAUACAUGGCGUAGAUAUCUCAUUUCUCUCUAUGUAAUCAUGACAUGUGGGCCUCCCAUGGUCAAUUCCUGAUAACCUCCGGCAGAAACAGACAUUCACCAAAACCUAUGGAAAUCUGUUAGAUGAAACCCUAUUCUAUUGUUGGUGAUUAUUUCAUGCCCUUAUUCCAUUCUCUUGUUGAUACAAAAUUGAUACUUAUCUACCGUCAACAAGCUCCCCCAAGCUUACCUUUUGCUCGUCCUUGAGCAAAGAAAAACUCAGCGAUGGAUCAGGAGUUGCUUCAAUGCUUUCAUACUUCAAGGGUACACAUGCAUUCAAACAAGAACCUUCUUCCAGAUUAGAGUGAACCGUAAUGAUUUAGACUUACCCAUAUUACCUUCCAUCAUGGGGCUUAUAGCUAUUACAUUGAUCUUGAGUGGUUGAAAGAUAGAAUGGUCAAGUCAAGCACUACUUCUCAAGCUCUUUGAUCAACUUUCAUUCCGGAGUUUUUGCAAGAUUUUCAAAUAAAACUUAGAGAUUCCUAUGUAUGACCCUCUCAAGACUCUCAUAUUUGGUAUUUGUGGAUCCUCUCCAAGGCACUCAUGAUGUCUGCCUUCUCUCUUCUCUCAAAGUAUGUGGUAUUUUUGGUAUAGGCAUAGUCAGAUGCCCUCUCUCUCACCCUACAACUAAGUGGCUUAUGUGGAGCUCAUAGGUGGGGAGACAGCUCAUACAUACUUGUAAACAUAUAUUGUAAAGUCAAACAACGGAUCCAAAGAAUCAAGUCAUACAAUCAAAUCAAGAUGUGCAUGUGUGUGGAAUGUAGUGGAGUGGAAUGUAAUGGAUGGCAAAUGGAUGUGGUUUGGGUGUAUGGUGAUGGUGGAAUCCUAAUUCUACCUUUGCUCCUUGAAAGCACACCUACCUUUAUUGGAACUUUUUGGGAGAGUUUGGGAUGCUCUAUUAUUCUCUCUCUUUUUUUCUUUUCUCUCUUUUUAUUAUUUAUUUAUUUAUUUUUGAGAGCCCUGUUGGGUAUUUUAAACGCAAAUAGAAAAAUCUACAAGAGCACGGAUACCGAUGUAGCUUUCACCUGGGAGUAUUUCAAAGUAUCGAUUUUCCACAGGGAACGUGAGUGUACUAAUUAAGAUUCAAGAUCGCCCAAGGAUAACUAUAUAAUUAUUUUUGGUGGGAAGAGAGGAAGUUUCCUGAGAGUUCUCUAGUUGAUCUAAGAAUUAAGAAUUACUUCAAAGAUUAUUUAUUUCGGGACAUCAGAACACUAACCACAGAAAGAGAUGAGAAGGGGGCUAGGAAGCUCUAACUACGGUCCUACAAACACCGAUCCGAACGAGGUGGAAUACGUUGACCGUUAGGGCUGUCACUACCCUAGGGCUACCACAACAAUCCACACGAUUGGGUGCAAUUCGAGGUAAUUGCAAGACUAAACACCACGUCUAAUCUAUUAAUUACUACUCUAGUGUUAUAAAUACUAGAGCACUUGAUGCAAGCGGGAAUCCAAUAAAUAACUUGAAUGUAAAUAAAAGUAAUUAAAGAACUCAGGAAUUAUGAAUUGAAGAACCUGGAGAACGAUGAAGAACGAACUAGUUGCUGCAAAAGUACAUUGUUGACGAAGAUCCGACAGACCCGGCUCCUCCUCCGCUCUCCUCUUCUCUCUCCCUAUUUUCUAGAUUACAACUAGAAUUAACUAGAACUAGAACUAGAAGAACUAGAACUAGAACUAGAUGAACUAGAGGGAUCCUCUCUACUUGGAUGAAUAAUGGAAACCCUAUCUUUGAUUCUGUAGAAGAGGUAUGAUCUCCAGGGGCCAGGGGGCCUUGCUUAUAUAGUCUUUUCAGAUGAAUCUAGGCCGUCGGAUCAAACCGACAUUAAUCGCAUGGUCUUCCUUGAUCCCUAAGGUCGGUGGAGCAUGAUCCGCAAAGUUGACCCUGAUUGGUCACCAAAGGGAGGCGGGCGCCCAGGGCCAGGCCCCGUUCUGCCUCCGCUUCAUUCCCGUGGCUUCUGGAGUCUUCUAGAUGAUAGAAAAUUGCCACACACAUUAAUAUCUCUAUGUAAACCCGACGUGUGGGCCUUUCCUCUGUAUUUCCUGAUAACCCCCUGCAGAAAUAGACAAACACCAAAACUCGUGGAAUUCUGUCAGAUAAAACCCUAAGUCUGGGUGUUGGUUGCAUUUGGAUCCUUUUCCAUGAUUAGUUGACGGUUAAAUGUGAGCAUUAAGGACAGUCAACAAGCUCCCCCAAGCUUAACCUUUACUCAUCCCUGAGCAAAGAUGGACUCAAUGUUGACGGUUCUUAAGUAUCAAUUUUAAUUAUCAAAUAAACAAGAGAAAGGACCAAUAUACAAACAACACCUAGAAUUAGGGUUUGAUCUGACAGAAUUCCACGAGUUUUGUUGUUUAUCCGUUUCUGCAGGGGGUUAUCAGGAAAUAAGGAAGAAAGGCCCACAUGUCGGGAUUACAUAGAGAUAUCAACGCACCUCGCAAUUUUCCACCGUCUAGAAGACUCUAGAAGCCACGGGAAGGAAGCAGAGGCCGACCGGGGCCAGGCACUGGGCGCCCGCCCAGUUGACCUGGGCGCCCACCCUCUGUUGGAUGCCAAUCAGGACUCUUUUCGCACACGACGCUCCACCGACCUAAAGGAUCAAGGAUAACCAUCCAAUCAAUGUCAGUUUGAUCCAACGGCUCAUGUUUACCUGAGGGGACUAUAAAACCAGACCCCCUGGUCCCUGGAGGAGACAAGUUAUCAUAGAGUUGAGGGGAGCCCUCAAAGGAAAACCUCUUCUCUAAAUAAAAUUUCUUUUUAGGCUUAGCAACCAAUGUGAGUAGAAAUAGAUCUUCUAGUUUCUACUAAAUUGAGAGAGAUAGAGUGGAGGUGUAGAUCGGAGGAAUCCCGGCCUGUCGGUGUCUACUCCGAGCUUGUACCUGUGGGAUCAAGUUCUCCUAACCCGAGGCUUGCUUCUAGGAUUCUUCAGUAUUUCGACUUCUAAAUUCUAGUAAGUUCUUGUUUUAUUGUUCUUUUGGUUUAUGAGUUUACUUUAAUCUCUUCGCGUAGAGUUUAGAGUAAUCAUCUCUAGCAUAGAUGUGGUGUUUAAGCUAGGAUACUCAUAGAUAUUCCCUGACUAGCUAGACCGUGGUAGUAGCGAGGAACGUGACAUUUUCGAGUUACCUUUGCAGACCACAUCUCGUUAGCAGGCAGGAUAGGGUUUAUAGGUGCGGGUUGAACAUCCUCUGUGGUGUCUAGAUUCCGUUAGCCUCCCCAAUAGAGCAGUAGAUCAUCCUUACCAAGGUUAGAAAGAGAUUACGGUUGUAGUCUUCUCUAUUUAUCACUCACAUCGAGAAACAUUCUUUGUUGCCUAAAGGGUUAGUAGUAAUAGACUGAGUUAGUCAGAUGCACUCUUUCUCCUAGUGGUAAAAAAAUAAAUACGAUACUCUGGAUAACCUUCCGGGUGAAGUGCUCACCGAUAUCCGUGCACUUGCGGAUCAAUUCCUUAUUGCGUUUCCAAACAUCAACAAGCAUUUCUGGCGCCGUUGCCGGGGAGAAAGACGGUUUGGUGAGAUAACCUUGAGUCUUACUACUAGCAUGUAUCUACACUUUUAUCUUUUCUUAUCUUUUAUAUUCUGUAUUUAUUUUCUUUAAUCUUACCUUAUGGAAAACCAAGAUUCUAAAUCAAUCUACCAAUUUGCAACACCUUCGGAAACUGACCUUUUACCAUGGGAGUCAUCACACCCUAUCCAAACAUCCCAGUAUAGGUUAAGUUCUAGGUUGAUUGCCUUGAUUCAAAACCUAUCUUUUUCGGGAAAGGAAGACGAAAACCCUUACCUUCAUAUUAGAGAUUUUGAGCAAACAUGUGAUUGUCUUCGCAUUGAAGGCAUUUCUGAUAAAACUUUACGUUGGAAGCUUUUUCCUUUUUCUUUAAGGGGAGAAGCUAGACAAUGGUACAGUCAGAAGGUAAGUCAACAACGAGGUGAAUGGGGAGUUUUACGAGCCAACUUUUGUCUAGAUUUUUAUUCCCUCGACCGUAUCGGUGACCUUAGACUCGAAGUCCUAUCUUUUAAACAAAAAGAUAAUGAAACUUUGGAAAAUCCUAGAAACGUUUUUCUGAUCUUUUAGAAUCUGGUCCAAACCUUAAUCUUGAAGACCCUGUUCUUUUAUUUCACUUUUUUUGAGGUCUUCAGAAAAAUCACAAACAAAUGCUACACACAAUGUCUAGAGGUUCUUUCUUUCGCAUCCCUACUGAUGAAGCUAGAGUGAUCCUAGAUAGAAUCCUAAAAGCUGAGAUGGAUAAUACCCUUCAUGAUGAAACCUACAAAGCUGAAGUAGACACGCUGCCAAAUUCUUCAUCUACUUUAGCUAUCCCAGGUUCUGAGCCACAAGAGGAAGAAAUUCCACCACCGGACUUCAUGCUGGAUAUAGAAUCUGAUCUUUUUGCCGAUUUUGGAAAUAUUUCAAACUACCAUUCUAUUGACAAACCCCAAAACGGCCAGUUUAGCAUUUAUUUACCAAGUGAAUAUCAAUUGAGAGAGCUUAUCUCAGUUAUGAGUAGCGAGUGGUUGGAGGAGUCAGAGCUUUCCUCUGAUGUGAUCCGUUUGGACACACCCUCUAUAACUAUACGCUGUGCUUAUAAUUCUGAUCGAUUUAAUGCUCUUUAUAAUCCUGUUGUGGGGAUCAACAUCAUGUCUGAAUCUUUUGCACUUAAACUAUUUAAAAAUCUUGUCUUAACCCCCACAACAAAGGUCAUAAAGGAAUCUUCGGGACGAUUAGUCCCCAGUCUUGGAAUUAUUAAUGUCCUACCUCUUACGGUAGAAGGCUCCAUGGUUCAUUUGAACUUCUAUAUCUUUGAUACAUGAGACUUCGACCUGUUGAUAGGACAACCUUUUAGAAGACUCCUUUAUGAAGGUCAUACUAGAAAGCUACACAUUUCUUUUAGAAAAACUUUUAAAUUCCCAAUACCAAUUUCACACUCCUUAAACAAUAAGGCCGAGUCAUAUCUUUUACCUGAUCCUAUGGAGGAGGUAAAGGCUGCAUCUCUUGAACUUUUAGAAGAAUCAGACUUAGAAGACGAAACUCCUUUCUUCAUAGAAGAAGCCAAACCUUCUGAACCUGAACCCUUAGAUGAGUUUGCAGAAACACCUAGACCUCCCAUAGAGCUUAAAACUUUACCACCCGGUCUUAUCUAUGCUUUCCUAAACAAUAAUCCAAAGUUUCCUGUGAUCAUUAGCGAUAAACUCUCUCAGGAGCAAACUCUGCGAUUAAUGACCAUUCUUGAGAAACAUCACUCAGUUUUCGGCUACUCACUCCAAGAUCUUACAGGAAUCAGUCAUAUGAUUUGUACCCAUCGUAUUCCAACAGAUCCUUCUGUUUCACCUUCUCGAGAACCCCAACGAAGACUUAACAACACUAUGAGAGAGGUAGUUAAAAAGGAAGUUAUAAAGUUGCUGCAUGCAGGGAUUAUAUAUCCUGUGCCGCACAGUGAGUGGGUAAGCCUAGUACAAGUUGUGCCUGAAAAGGGAGGCAUGACUGUUAUUAUGAAUGAAAAGAACGAGCUAAUUCCGCAACGCACCGUCACAGGAUGGCGGAUGUGCAUAGACUAUAGAAAACUAAACAAAGCCACGAGAAAGGAUCAUUUUCCUUUACCUUUCAUAGAUGAGAUGCUAGAGCGAUUAGCGAACCAUUCGUUCUUCUGUUUCUUAGAUGAAUAUUCAGGGUAUCAUCAGAUCCUGAUCCAUCCCGAUGAUCAAAGCAAAACCACUUUUACAUGCCCAUAUGGAACUUAUGCUUACUGUAGAAUGUCUUUUGGGUUAUGUAAUGCACCAGCUUCUUUUCAAAGAUGCAUGAUGUCUAUAUUUUCUGAUAUGAUUGAAGAGAUUAUGGAAGUUUUCAUGGAUGAUUUCUCUAUUUAUGGAAAAACUUUUGAUAGUUGUCUUGAAAACUUAGACAAGGUUUUGCAAAGAUGUGAAGAGGACACCUAGUGUCUGAAAGAGGUAUUGAGGUAGACAAAGCUAAAAUUGAUGUAAUUGAACAACUACCUCCACCUGUGAAUAUAAAAGGAAUUCGAAGCUUUCUUGGCCAUGCUGGUUUUUAUCGUAGAUUCAUAAAAGAUUUUUCAUUCAUUGCUAGACCACUUACUCUUUUGCUAGCCAGGGAUGCUCCUUUCGAAUUUGAUGAUGCAUGUCUAACAUCUUUUAAUUUAUUAAAGAAAGCACUCAUCUCUGCACCAAUCAUUCAACCCCCUGAUUGGUCGUUGCCUUUUGAAAUUAUGUGUGAUGCUAGUGAUUAUGCUGUGGGGGCAGUAUUAGGACAAACUAAAAAUAAGAAGCAUCAUGCAAUUGCUUAUGCCAGUAAAACUUUCACGGGAGCUCAACUUAACUAUGCAACCACUGAAAAAGAGCUUCUGGCUGUUGUCUUUGCCAUUGAUAAAUUUAGAUCUUAUUUAGUUAGAGCUAAAAUAAUUGUUUACACUGAUCAUGCUGCACUAAAAUAUUUGCUCACUAAAAAAGAUGCUAAACCUCACCUGAUUAGAUGGAUCUUAUUACUGCAAGAAUUUGACUUAGAAAUAAAAGAUAAAAAGGGAGUAGAAAAUUGUGUUACAGAUCACUUGUCUAGAAUGUAUUUUAAGAGUCCACAGGAAACCCCCAUCAAUGAUUCACUCUGGGACAACAUGCUCUACGGGAUUAACAGGUCUGACCCCUGGUAUGCAGAUAUUGUUAAUUUUAUGGUUUCAGGGUAUGUACCGCCAGGAGCAAACAAGAAGAAGCUUAUUCAAGAAAGUCGUUCACAUAUAUGGGAUGAGCCAUACCUCUUCCGAGUAUGCUCUGAUGGCUUACUCAGGAGAUGUGUGACCACUAAGGAAGGAUGGAAGAUCAUCGACAGAUGUCAUUCAUCACCAUAUGGAGGUCACUAUGGAGCAUUCCGUACACAUUCAAAGAUCUGGCAGUGUGGAUUCUACUAGCCUACAAUGUAUGAAGACACGAAGCAAUAUAUCAGAAGAUGUAGGCCAUGUCAAAGACACGGAAACAUAAACACAAGAGAUGCCAUGCCACUCACCAACAACCUUCAGAUUGAGCUCUUUGAUGUUGGGGAAUAGACUAUAUGGGUCCAUUUCCUCCAUCAAAGAAGUGUGAGUACAUCUUGGUGGCAGUUGACUAUGUCUCCAAGUGGGUAGAGGCAUUACCUUGCAAGCAUGCCGACAACAUCAGUUCAAAGAGGAUGUUUGAAGAAAUUAUAUUUCCAAGAUUUGGAGUCCCCAGAGUAGUGAUAAGUGAUGGAGGAGCACACUUCAUCAACAAACGCUUCAAGCAAUAUCUAUCAAAACAUGGAAUCCGUCACAACGUUGAUACCCCCUAUCAUCCUCAGACAAGUGGCCAAGCAGAGACUUCCAACAAGCAAAUCAAGAAUAUUCUUCAGAAGACAGUAAAUGAAAUGGGAACGGCAUGGAAAGACAAGUUACCCGAUGCACUCUGGGCAUACCGGACAGCAUACAAGACCCCAAUUGGAAUGUCCCCAUACCAAUUGGUGUACGGGAAGACUUGCCACCUACCUGUUGAACUAGAGUUCAAAGCACACUGGGCCACAAAGAGAUGGAAUAUGGACCUAGAUGUUGCUGGAGAUCAUAGAAGAAUGCAACUAUCAGAAUUGGAAGAAUGGCGAGAGAAAGCAUAUCACAAUUCGAAGAUCUACAAAGAAAGAGUCAAAAGGUGGCAUGACAAGAGAAUCAAGAAGAAGGAGUUCACACCUGGAGACAAGGUAUUACUUGUAAAUUCCAGGGUGAAGCUUUUCGGGCAUGGAAAACUCCGGAGCAAAUGGGAAGGACCAUUCAAGGUAAUUAAUUCAUCAUCCCAGGAGCUAUCACACUUCAAAAUGACGAAGGUACGUUAUUCAAGGUAAAUGGUCAACGUAUUAAAUUGUUUUUAGAGCCCAAUAAAGAAUUAGAAGAAAUAGACGUAGUCCAUUUUUUCCUUCCCAUGGAGAAUUAGAGCCCGACCUUUUUUGUCUGACGUUUUUGGGUCAUAUAUAUAUUUUCCUAAUUAAGUCUGCAUCUAGAAACACGCUCAAGGAAGCGGGCCCACAGAGGAGACAGAGAGAGGGCGGGCGCCCAGCUUCUGUUCCCCCUUGGUCCUGAUUUCCUCUGUUGUGGAAAAUAGACUUAUGGUAAUCCGAAUAAUCCCUCAGAUGGAAAGUUUCGCAUGCCCAUCGACGGGAGCAACCCGAACAACCCCUAGAGGCACUUUUUGACCCCUAUAUAAACAGACCCCUGACAUCAGUUUUCAAACACCAAACCACAAAGCCUUCUCUUCUUCUUCAAUUAGAGCUUGUUUAGUUCCUCGCUGCUCCAAUGGCCGAGAAGUUCCACGAUGAUUGGGAAGUCGUCCCCUUCAACCUCAACAUGGAGCCUGCGGAAGACCCUGAUGCCCGUGCUCUCGUCCCGGCCAACACAGAGCGACAGCUAGAAGCCAUGCCAUUACGUCAACGCAGAUCCGCCCAAUCCUACCAUGCUCAACCAGUUCUCACCGCACCGCCACAACCCCUACUCCUUAAGAGAUCAUCAUCCAAGAUGAAGACCACCAUCAAGGUGUCAACCGGCACGAGGAUCCUUCCACCUAGACCCAAUGAGAGGGUCGUUGGAGUCAAGACCAACCGGAGCGGCGAGAUCAGCAGCAUUCGCUACACUACGGAGGAGGAAAGGCCCUAUUUUGGAGGGAUUAGAGCAGCUAAAGUCCGUUUCAUCCCUCCAAAAGCAGCCCCAAAGCACGCUCUCAAUGCUUUUGAGACACCUCCCAACCGUCGCAAGACUAUAUUGGAUAUUGAUGAGGACGUUCGCAGGCUAGACAGAGUUAUCAUAGACCUCCAGUCCUCGAUUAAUUCCCUCACUAGGCAGCUCUCUAACCACAACACCGUUAUACUAGGCCUUAGGCAGGAUCUUGCCAGUGCCAAUAAGAAGAUCAAGGAAUUAGAGCGCCGCUAAGUUAUCUAGAUUAGAUCUUGAGGCAAUGCAUCUUAGUUAUCUAUCUUUAAAUUCGGUUUAGGUUUACUAUUAUUGUCAGUUUGCUACUAUUGUCGUCAGUUUGCUACUAGUCAUUUGUAAUAAAUGCCUCAAGAUUAAUAAAGAGUAUUAUUAUUAUUAAUAUUAUGUUUUGUGUGUCUCUACUUUAUUUUUGUGCAAGAAAGCAGAAAACAAGUAUGGGGGAGAUCCCUUGACAUGCCAAACACACUUCGACUACACCACUCCACAAUUCAGGUACAUACUCUGCACACUUUACUUUACACACACACAUAUCUUGGAUUAUGCAGAAUAUUGUUUCCGACAGGAUAAAGAUUAAAAUGUUUCUAAUCAUGAUUAAUCUCACUCUGUGAUAUUUCCUGAAAGCUUGCAACUAUUAUAAAAUCAUUUUAAAACCCUGUGUUACUUAAGUCAAUAUGGAAUAUGAGAUGGUAGAGUAUGAGUUUCUUAUUCUUGAUAUCAUUGUUGCUUGCAGAAUUUAUUUCAAAAUCUUCAAAAUUCUAGCUACCAUCCUCAGUGUUUUAUAUGCCUGAUAAAACUGAAAAUAUUAAUUACGAUUAUAAAAGCUAUCUACUCUGUAUUGAGUUUGUUCAAAAUGAGUUAGACCGUUGUUGAGAGAUUUAUCAUGCUCCUAAGAUCAAGACAUUUAUUCAGAAAGAUUCACUCUUCCGAAGUAUUAUUGCAUUAGAGGCAUGGGCUAUGCAAAAAUAAAGAUAUUUCGAGAAAAUAAAAAGGAGCAAGUGCUCAACAACCUUGCAGAAAAAAAUGGACAAGCGUCCGACAGUACAAUUAGGGGUACCUCGGUAUCCACUUAAAAAAAAGAACAAAAAGAAAAUGAUAGCCCAUGGUCCCUCUAAUAAGCAAUAUGCCAGCAAGAGUUGACAAAGAUUUUAAUUUCCAAAGGCUUUGAUCUAAGAGUAUGACAUUCCCCUCCUCGGAUCCUGUUUUGAUCAGGCAAUAAAUACAAAGUAAGUAUGCUUGAGAAUUUUUUGCAAAUUAAAACAGCCUCAGUGAGAUAUAUAAAAGAUAAUGAGUGAUCUGAGAGAACCUAUGAGGAUAAAAGGUAUGCUAACUUUUGUUGACGGUCCUUAAGUAUCAAAUUUAAUUAUCAAAUAAAUAAAGAAAAGGAUCCAAAUGAAAUCAACAUCUAGACUUAGGGUUUUAUCUGACAUAAUUCCACGAGUUUUGGUGUUUGUCUAUUUCUGCAGGGGGUUAUCAGGAAAUACGGAAGAAAGUCCCACACGUCGGGAUUACAUAGAGAUAUUAACGUGCCGCGCAAUUAUCUUACAUCUAGAAGACUCCACAAGCCACGAGACCGAAGCGGAGGCGAAACGGGGCCAGAGGCAGGGCGCCCGCUGUUGACGGUCCUUAAGUAUCAAAUUUAAUUAUCAAAUAAAUAAAGAAAAGGAUCCAAAUGAAAUCAAGAUCUAGACUUAGGGUUUUAUCUGACAUAAUUCCACGAGUUUUGGUGUUUGUCUAUUUCUGCAGGGAGUUAUCAGGAAAUAUGGAAGAAAGGCCCACAUGUCAGGAUUACGUAAAGAUAUUAACGUGCUGCGCAAUUAUCUUACAUCUAGAAGACUCCAGAAGCCACGAGACCGAAGCGGAGGCGAAACGGGGCCAGACCCUGGGCGGCCGCCCAAUUGGUCAGGGCGCCCGCCCACCUCUAGAGUCCAAUCAGGACUCUGCUUUGCGGGAAGUCUCCACCGACCUAAAGGAUGUAUCUAAACCAUACAAUCUAUGUCGGUUUGAUCCAAGGGCCCAUAUUCACUUGAAGGGACUAUAAAACCAGACCCCCUGGCCCCUGGAGGAGGGAGCCUCUCAACCCUAAUUCAUUGUUCCAUCAAGGGAGAAGAAGCCUCUGAUCAAGAUUAGAGCCACCACAUCAAUUAGAUAUCUAGAUUAGCAUAGCUACAUAGGAUUAGAACUAGAAGGAGUCAAUCUUCGAUUGGUUUCCGGAUCUGUCAGGAGGAUUCUUGGUAAUUCUCUAAUUGUGCUUCUAAUUGCUUUCUAAUUAUCUUUGUUCUUCAAUAUUAUGAAUAUGACUUUGUUCUACUUCAAUAUAUUGCUUAUGACUUUGCUCUACUUGCUUAUAUUCAAGAUUAUAUUGUUCUUAGUUUAUCAUAGUUAUGUACUUGGCUUAGUUAGAUACGAUCUAUAUACAUGCUUAGGAUCGUAUAGCGUUUAUCCAUCGGAUCCAUGGGUAAAUGAUAGAUAUUGUGUAGGCGUGGUGCUUAUACCGUAUUUAUCUGCGAUUGUACACAAUAUGCCAGAUCGUGGGGUAGUUCGUGAUAGUGAUAGCUUCAUUGAUUCUUAUAUAGUCCCCCUCUCGUGUAUUGGGCUAGCAGAGCAACAUUAUUACAGGGGAGUGAUUGCUAUGUUUCUCAUAUUCCUUGCUAAUAUCACUAUGCAUGGGCGUAGUCUUGUCUCGCAAUGAUUGCUAAGUAUGCUUGCACUAACUAUGAUAUGCUAGACUAUAUAGUUGAGAAUAACUUAGGGAAUAUUCUUGUAGUUCGUUCUAAUACCAUGCUAAUGACUUUCUAGAGUAUCUAAUUGAGGUGCUUAUCAUAUUUAUUAUGUGGCUAGAUCAGAUUAGUUAUCCUUGUCACUAUUAUCAUUUCAUAUAUCUAUUAUGUGACACUUAUCCCUGUAUGAAGAGUUAGAUAUAAUGUUCUCAAUUAUACAUGCAAUGAUAGAUGCUCAAUCUCAUAUUCUAUUCUGUAAUCAAUAGUGAUGAUUGACUAAUCCCUUCCCAGUGGUAAAAAUAUAAAUAACGAUACCUGGAAUACUUCCCGGUUAAAAUACUACAUCGGUAUUAAUCUGUGCGCUUGCAGAUCCCAUUCAUUAUUUAUUUAGAAGAGCAAUUGCAUAUUUCAAUACCGCGUCUCUUAUAUCAUGCUGGGGAUGACAACUUGGCUUAAGUGGUGUGAGGGAUAGGUUUGGCAUUUUUGGCACCGUUGCUAGAUUUAGAACUUAGUCUACUUUUAGUAAUGAUGUUAAGAAUACCCAACACCCGCCCUCCUGCCCUGGGCGCCCGCCCCCUCUGGGAGUCCAAUCAGGACUCUGCUUCGUGGGAGAUCUCCACCGACCUAAAGGAUGAAUCUAAACCAUACAAUCUAUGUCGGUUUGAUCCAAUGGCCCAUAUUCACUUGAAGGGAGUAUAAAACCAGACCCCUGUUGACGGUCCUUAAGUAUCAAAUUUAAUUAUCAAAUAAACAAAGAAAAGGAUCCAAAUGAAAUCAACAUCUAGACUUAGGGUUUUAUCUGACAGAAUUCCACGAGUUUUGGUGUUUGUCUAUUUCUGCAGGGGGUUAUCAUGAAAUAAGGAAGAAAGGCCCACAUGUCGGGAUUACAUAGAGAUAUCAACCCACCGCGCAAUUUUCUACCAUCUAGAAGACUCCAGAAGCCACGGGAAGGAAGCGGAGCCCGAAAGGGGCCAGGCCCAGGGCGCCCGCCCUGGUAGCCUGGGCGCCCGCCCCCCUGUUGGAGCCAAAUCAGGACUCUUUCGCUCGGGAUAUUCCACCGACCUAUUGGAUCAAGAAAAACAUAGUACCACCUCGCCUAUCGACCCAAAAACGCAUAGAAGGGGAGGACUAUAUAAGCAAGGCCCCCUGGCCCCUGGAAGAGACAAGAAAUUAUCAUAGAGAUUGAGGGGUGCCCUCGAAGGAAAACCUCUUCUCUAAAUAAUAUUUCUUUUUAGGCUUAGCAACCAAUGUAAAGUAGAAAUAGAUCUUCUAGUUUCUACUAGAUUGAGAGAGAUAGAGUGGAGGUGUGGAUCGGAGGAAGGCCGGCCUGUCGGUGUCUACUCUGAGUUGUACCUACGGGAUCAAGUCUCCUAACCCGAGGCUUGCUUCUAAGAUUCUUCAGUAAUUCGACUUCUAAUACUAGUAAGUUCUUGUUUUAUUGUUCUUUGGUUUAUGAGUUUACUUUAAUCCUCUUCCGGUUGAGUAUUAGAGUAAUCACUUGCUAGUGUAAACGUGGUGUUUAGGCUAGGGUACUCAUAGAUAUCCCCUGACUAGCUGGACCGUGGUAGUAGCGAGGAACGUGACAUUUCCGAGUUACCUUUGCAGAUCACAUCUCGUUAGCAGGACGGGUAGGUUUAUAGGUGCGGGUCGAACAUCCUUUGUGUUGUCUAGAUUCCGUGAGCCUCCCCAAUAGAACAGUAGAUCAUCCUUACCAAGGUUAGAACGAGACUAAGGUUGCAGUCUUCUCUAUACAUCACUCACAUCGAGAGACAUUCUUUGUAGCCUAAAGGGAUAGUAGCAAUAGAUUUGGUUAGUCAGAUGCACCCUUUCUCCCAGUGGUAAAAAUAUAAAUACGAUAACUCUGGAUAACCUCCCGGGUGAAAUGCUCACCGAUAUCCGUGCGCUUGCGGAUCAUUUUCUAAUUCCGUUACCAAAUAUCAACAAGCAUUUCUGGCGCCGUUGCCGGGGAGAAAGACAGUUUGCUGAGAUAACUUUGAGUCUUGCUAUUAUCUUGUAUUAUACUUUUAUUCUUUUAUCUUUUUAUCUUUAUGGAUAACUUAAAGUCCAUACCUAUUAUUGAAUUCUUUGCACCUUCGGAGACCAGCCAUAGACCAUGGGAGUCAACACGUCCUGCCCCUAAUUAUGAUAUGUGUCCGGAGUUGAUUGCAAUAGGUCAAAACCAACCCUUUUCUAUAGCCGAGGUCCUAUCUUUUAAUCAAGAAGAUAAUGCACUUUUAGCUACACCUAGGGAAUCUUUUAAUCCUUUUAUAAAUUCUGGUUUAGACCAAGCCCUACAAGACCAUGUUUUUCCUAAAUAUUUUCACAUUGGUCUUAAUCAUAUAACCUUUUCUAGAGUCCUUCUUUCUUUAUCUAUUAGUAAAGGAAGGUAUGUCUUCAUUCGUGGACAUCUUUCUUGUACUAGUCUUCAUAGAAAAAUCCUAGAAAUAGAGAAGGAAUCAUCUCCCAGACAAGGAAAGGAAGUUUCAAUAGCCAAUUUCCAAACAUUUCAAACCCAUAAUUCGGCUAUCCACACCUUCCUUGAGCUUAAUAAAUUCUACUAUGCUCUUUCUCUUAAACCUCCCGAUAAUCAUAUGAAUCUCUCUAGACAUCCCAUGCAUAACAAGGAGGAUCGAGAAGAGCAACAUCAAUGGCUAGAGGGCAUUAAAAAUCCAUGUGCUGUCACCAUUGAAUGGAUAGAUAAAACAAACUUGAGAGACAAUCCUAGAGGAAUUUUAAACAUUCAUGAAGAAUCAUCCUUGGAGUUUGAGAAUGAGAGAAACAACAGUGAGCAUGGAAGUUAUUUCAUAAAUACCUCACCCAGUCCUUGCUCAUAUAAAACAUCUCUCCAAUCAAUUUGUCUCUCCAUCCUUACCACAUUUGAGAUCUCCAACCCCCUCUUCUUUUCUAUUUAUAAAAACUUUAAAAGGGCGGUUGUCGAUGCAUAUGUCUAUAAUAAAUAUUGCAGAUCUCGUUGAGUUAAUUGAUGGUUCCCCAAGGACAAGCUUAGUGUCCUAAAACAAGCACUUCUAAUUAUUUGCAACAUUGCCUUGUGUAUUGAGCAUAUAAAGAUAAUUGUAGAAAUAUUUCUUCGGGUAUUCUUGUCACUAACCUUUCCAGGAUUGGAGCAAGAAGAUCGGAUGAAUGACAAGCACAAGGUAUGUCCAACCAACCAUCACACAACAUUGAAUUAAAUUCAUCCAAACUUGAAUUUUGCAAAAUUCAAGCUUGGGGGAGUACUUUACAUAAAACAUCCUUUGCCAUGUUGCUAUGUUGGUUGUCCUUACCUUUGAGACAUGCUCAAUUUGUUAAAUACUAAUCACACUACUUCAUCUCCACUUGAGUAGAUCUCGAUAAAAGCCAUCAUGCUACCUUUGUUUAUCCUAGUAAGUGUUAGUUUGGAAGUACUGGUCACACUUCCAAUGGCAUUUAAAUUAAGCGUGGUGCUUAGGUUAAAUUGCCUUCCUUAAUCUGAUUAGACAUGGAGUCUAGUUUGGUUACUGAACUAAAAACUGCUUGAGUAGAUAUUGGUAUAUUUUGUUGGACUAACCCCUGUAGGAAAACUUUCAAUAUCAACCUAGGAAGUCCUGAGAUGCAAACUCAUUAGAGAUGAAGAAAGUGACACAUGAAGUUUAACAAUUUGCACAAGAAAGACGUAGCUCAUAAGAGAUGAUUCAUGGAGGGUGCCACAAACACGAUGCACAACCUCUAAGAAAGGAAAGCUUCCACAAGGUGAUACUGUACCAUCACUCUUCAAGUAAGGUAACAUCUUAAGGUACUUGACUAACACUUUUAUAAGCUCCUCCUUGGUUCUGGCAUUCACAUAAAUAAAGAGACAAACAUGUAUGAUUUAUAACUCCAAAUUAACCAACUCAAUUAAUUCAACAUGUUUAGUCCUUUAAUCUUUGUUCUUAGUACUACCUUCGUGACCCCACACUCCUAAUCAUAUAAGCUAAAGUAUUGCACAUUCAAUCUUUGGAAGAUAUAAAAAAAACAUAAAUAUAGAUAGAUUAUCUUUCUAUUAGGUUGAGCCAUCUGAUCUGACAAAUGCUACACUCAUGAUCCAUCAACUUUGUCUUGCUCACUAUGCUUAAGGUUAGAGAAGAACAAAUACACUUUUAGUUCUGUUGGUGUUUUCCACCAACAGGGCCCAUGCACUUGAUCUCUACCUUGUCUCUAUGAGUAGGAACACUUCGAGCAUAAUAUGAAGGAGUUUUACAACUCCCAGAUUCCACCAAGUGAAGAACUAGGAUCUACGAGCACAAACACACUGGAGAUACUGGACGCUCAGGCAAUCACUGCCCUAAGAUGCUUGAGGACGUGAACUACAUCAACAACAAUAACAACUAUUACUACAACCGUCCUCAACAACAUCAAGGUUGGAAUCAACAGAGGCCUAAUUACUCAGAGAGGUGAUCUAGGACGUCCCGUCAUCCCGAUCUCCAUCGGCAUGGUGGACUUCCCAGAAGCACUCUGCAACUUUAGCUCCAGCGUCAACAUUAUGCCCAGGGUUGCAGAUCGGACACUCAGUUUCCCAAAGGAAAUAUUGAAGAACCUCUGCGUCCGAGUUGGUACCUUAUACGCUCCAGUCAACAUGAUAAAGGCUAGAUAUUUAUGCUAACACUUAACCAGUUCCACAAGCUUUGUUGUCUAUUUGAGCUCCAUAGAAUUUAAGAAUCAAGAAGACUAGCAGACGGAGGACAUUCUAAUCGCUGUCAAAAUACUGCUGACUUUCAAACACACCUCUGCCACCUGCUAGCUACAUCAAGAGAAAUUACGUCAAAAUUCAGCUUGGGGGAGAGCACCCCCAUUUAUCUCGAUAAGUAUUUCUAUCUAUCUUUAUACUUAUACUAUAUUAGAAUAUAAAUACACAUAACUAUGAAAAACCAAAUAAAGAUUUUAUGCUUAUAUAUAUUUUGCUUAGUGUGUUUAAUAAAUAAAUAAAGUGGCUAUGCUAAUCUGUAUCUAAUAAAACUUAAGCAUGGAUAUGAUGAAUAGUUGCUCUGCCUAAUUUGCAAAUUUGAAGUUCUCUCUCAAGUUUAGAUAUAACUGUUAUAAUUUAAGGCUUGCUCUAGACCUAAACUUGUGGGAUGAAAACUUGAUCUGAAGUCUAAGUUGUUAACGGAUACGAUAUGGGAAGGUUGAGCUGCUGUUCAUCUGUUCCUAGAGAUGCUAGAAUUCUAGAGAAUUUUAUCUUUGAAAAAUCUUUAAAAUAACACAUGAUGAGUUCCUGUAUGAUGAGAGUUUAAAUUCCUACCACAGCCAUAUAUACAUGCUUGCUAGACCUUGAGCCACACAUUUACUAUUUACUGCUUAUGAGCAUUGAGUGUGGUCAAGCUGUGUAGACCCUUAGGAGCUUGUCAUGUGGUUAAAUCAAGAUUCACUUGCACGUUCACUCAUACAUGCUACUUCUACUCCGGAAGUACCAUCCACAUAUAUCCACUCAUUUCCAUCUCCAAAACCACCCAAAAGUAUUCUACUCCUAAUCCGGGAGAGAAUAACCAAAAAUAUUUCUGUUUCCCCUUGUGAAAUAAAUGCUCAAGUUAUCUUGUUACUACCACUUGCUAUAUUAUCUCAAGAGAUGAAUGCUCUGAAAAAAAAAGAAGAGAAAAAAAAGAAAUACGAGGAAAUAAAAAGGAGCAAGUGCUCGGAACCUCGAAAGAAAAGAAAAAGUGAGACGAGAGGUAAAAAUGGACAAGUGUCCGACAUUAGAAAUUAGGGGUACAAGAUACCCACCUGAGAGAAAAGAAAAAGAUGAGCAUCUCAUUCUCCUCAUACAGUUUCAAAAAGCAAGGAAGGUAUGUAUCCCCUCAAAGAGCAAAGUAGAAUUAGACUUCCACCUCCAUUGUUUUCACCAUUGUUAUCACCAUCAUCACCAUACACCAUUCAUUCGCCACACAUGCACAUCUUGAUUUGGCUUAUUGAUUUGUUACUUUGGAUCCAUGGUUUGACUAUGCAAUAAAUGUCUUGUAAGUAUGUAUACUUUAUCUCCCACCUAUGAGCUUCAGAUAUUAAAGCCUUAUUAGAGUAGGGUGAGAGAGAAGACAAUGUCACUAUGCUUCAUACCACAAAUACUACAUAUCUUGAGAGAAGGCAUAUACCAUCACUGCCUUGGUAAGGAUCCAAAAAUACCACAAAAGAGAGAUCUAAGAGAGUCAUAUAAGGAAUCUCUGAGUUUUAUUUGAAAAUCUGCAAAAACCCCAGAGCUAUAGCUAAUCAAGAAUAAGAGACAUGGCACUUGGCUAGACUGUUCUAUCUUUUAACCACUCAAGACAGAAGUGACGGUUACAAGUCCUAUGGUGUAGGUAAAGUAAGUAAGUUUUAAGUCUUAACAGUUUAUUCUAACUCAGAGAUGAGAUCUUGCUUAAAUGCGUGUGUACUUCUAAGAAAUGAAACCACUGCAGAAACUCUUGAGUUCAUCCUUGCUCAGGGACGAGCAAGAGGUAAGCUUGGGGGAGUUUGUUGACGGUCCUUAAGUAUCAAAUAUAAUUAUCAAAUAAACAAAGAAAAUGAUCCAAAUGAAAUCAACAUCUAGACUUAGGGUUUUAUCUGACAGAAUUCCACGAGUUUUGGUGUUUGUCUAUUUCUGCAGGGGGUUAUCAUGAAAUAAGGAAGAAAGGCCCACAUGUCGGGAUUACAUAGAGAUAUCAACCCACCGCGCAAUUUUCUACCAUCUAGAAGACUCCAGAAGCCACGGGAAGGAAGCGGAGCCCGAAAGGGGUCAGGCCCAGGGCGCCCGCCCCCCUGUUGGAGCCAAAUCAGGACUCUUUCGCUUGGGAUAUUCCACCGACCUAUUGGAUCAAGAAAAACAUAGUACCACCUCGCCUAUCGACCCAAAAACGCAUAGAAGGGGAGGACUAUAUAAGCAAGGCCCCCUGGCCCCUGGAAGAGACAAGAAAUUAUCAUAGAGAUUGAGGGGUGCCCUCGAAGGAAAACCUCUUCUCUAAAUAAUAUUUCUUUUUAGGCUUAGCAACCAAUGUAAAGUAGAAAUAGAUCUUCUAGUUUCUACUAGAUUGAGAGAGAUAGAGUGGAGGUGUGGAUCGGAGGAAGGCCGGCCUGUCGGUGUCUACUCCGAGUUGUACCUACGGGAUCAAGUCUCCUAACCCGAGGCUUGCUUCUAAGAUUCUUCAGUAAUUCGACUUCUAAUACUAGUAAGUUCUUGUUUUAUUGUUCUUUGGUUUAUGAGUUUACUUUAAUCCUCUUCCGGUUGAGUAUUAGAGUAAUCACUUGCUAGUGUAAAUGUGGUGUUUAGGCUAGGGUACUCAUAGAUAUCCCCUGACUAGCUGGACCGUGGUAGUAGCGAGGAACGUGACAUUUCUGAGUUACCUUUGCAGAUCACAUCUCGUUAGCAGGACGGGUAGGUUUAUAGGUGCGGGUCGAACAUCCUUUGUGUUGUCUAGAUUCCGUGAGCCUCCCCAAUAGAACAGUAGAUCAUCCUUACCAAGGUUAGAACGAGACUAAGGUUGCAGUUUUCUCUAUACAUCACUCACAUCGAGAGACAUUCUUUGUAGCCUAAAGGGAUAGUAGCAAUAGAUUUGGUUAUUCAGAUGCACCCUUUCUCCCAGUGGUAAAAAUAUAAAUACGAUAACUCUAGAUAACCUCCCAGGUGAAAUGCUCACCGAUAUCCAUGCGCUUGCGGAUCAUUUUCUAAUUGCGUUACCAAAUAUCAACAACCCCCUGGCCCCUGGAGGAGAGAGCCUCUCAACCCUAAUUCAUUGUUCUUCAAGGGAGAAGAAGCCUCUGAUCAAGAUUAGAGCCACCCCAUCAAUUAGAUAUCUAGAUUAGCAUAGCUGCAUAGGAUUAGAACUAGAAGGUGUCAAUCUUCGAUUGGUUUCCGGAUGUGUCAGGAGGAUUCUUGGUAAUUCUCUAAUUGUGCUUCUAAUUACUUCCUAAUUAUCUUUGUUCUUCAAUAUUAUGAAUAUGACUUUGUUCUACUUCAAUAUAUUGCUUAUGACUUUGCUCUACUUGCUUAUAUUCAAGAUUAUAUUGUUCUUAGUUUAUCAUAGUUAUGUACUUGGCUUAGUUAGAUUGGAUCUAUAUACAUGCUUAGGAUCGUAUAGCGUUUAUCCAUCGGAUCCAUGGGUAAAUGAUAGAUAUUGUGUAGGCGUGGUGCUUAUACCGUAUUUAUCUGCGAUUGUACCCAAUAUGCCAGAUCGUGGGGUAGUUCGUGAUAGUGACAGCUUCAUUGAUUCUUAUAUAGUCCCCCUCUCGUGUAUUGGGCUGGCAGAGCAACAUUAUUAUAGGGGAGUGAUUGCUAUGUUUCUCAUUUACCUUGCUAAUAUCACUAUGCAUGGGCGUAGUCUUGUCUCACAAUGAUUGCUAAGUAUGCUUGCACUAACUAUGAUAAUGCUAGACUAUAUAGUUAAGAAUAACUUAGGGAAUAUUCUUGUAGUUCGUUCUAAUACCAUGCUAAUGACUUUCUAGAGUAUCUAAUUGAGGUGCUUAUCAUAUUUAUUAUGUGGCUAGAUCAGAUUAGUUAUCCUUGUCACUAUUAUUAUUUCAUAUAUCUUUUAUGUGACACUUAUCCCUGUAUGAAGAGUUAGAUAUAAUGUUCUCAAUUAUACAUGCAAUGAUAGAUGCUCAAUCUCAUAUUCUAUUCUGUAAUCAAUAUUGAUGAUUGUCAAUCCCUUCCCAGUGGUAAAAAUAUAAAUAACGAUACCUGGAAUACUUCCCGGUUAAAAUGCUACAUCGGUAUUAAUCUGUGCGCUUGCAGAUCCCAUUCAUUGUUUAUUUAGAAGAGCAAUUGCAUAUUUCAAUACCGCGUCUCUUAUAUCAUGCUGGGGAUGACAACUUGGCUUAAGUGGUGUGAGGGAUAGGUUUGGCAUUUUUGGCACUGUUACUAGAUUUAGAGAACUUAGUCUACUUUUGGUAAUGAUGUUAAGAAUAACCAACAAGCAUUUUUGGCGCCGUUGCCGGGGAAGGUUGAUUACUAAUCAGGAAUGGAAUAAAAGAUUUUGAGUUAUCAUUUGCAUCACUAAUAUGAUUGAGCUUAUCUAUUCUCUCAUACAGUUUUACCCCGAUAUUUUUCUAUUUUUAUCUUAUGCAGGGGAAUGUAUGAAUAGAAGACAUCUUCCAGGAAAUUUUGUUGACAAUCCCGAAGCAUUAUUCAAGAAGACGAGAGCCAAGCUCAAGAAGAGAUCAUCAACACUUCAGCAAGAAGCUUCAUCCAAUCAAGAAGAUCACCGGAACUUGUCUUAAGAGUUCGAGGCCAUGGCGAAAAAAUCAAUCCGCGAGUUCUCAGCUCCGACUACGGACAACAUCCGCACUGGACCUGCUGGAGAGAUCGAUGGCAAGUUUGAGCUCAAGCCUGGACUUAUCAACAUGGAUCAUUCCAACCAGUUCUGUGGGAAGGCACACGAAGAUGCUAGUGCUCAUUUACAACACUUCCUGGAGAUCUGCAACACAUUCACCAUAUCAGGAGUUUCCAAAGAUGCUAUACUACUUCGCCUCUUCCCAUUCUCAUUGUUAGGAAGAGCAAAGCAGUGGUUCUACGCUACAAAGGAGAAGAAUACUACGUGGGCACUCUGCUCAACAAACUUCCUGGCAAAGUUUUUUCCCAUGGGCAAGACCAAUGCUCUCCGUGGAAAGAUUACAAGUUUUCAGCAACAAAAUGAUGAAUCUGUUCUAGAAGCAUGGGAGCGCUUUCAAGACUACAUCCUAGAAUGUCCCCAUCAUGGAAUGGAGAGUUGGCUAUUGAUGCAGACAUUUUAUCAUGGGCUCGACAACAGUGCCCGAGAGACCAUGGAUGCUGCAGCUGGAGGAGCAUUCUUAUCACUUACUAUACCACAAGCCAUAGCUCUUGUGGAGAAGAUGGCAUCCAAUCAAAGCUGGAAUGAAGAGAGGACCCAGACACGCAAGAGAGGUGGAGGUAUGCAUCAGCUGAAGGAGGUAGACUUGCUGGCUGCAAAGCUAGACCUGCUCAUAAAGAAGCUCGACGAUAGAGCUGGAGACAAGAAAGAAGUUAUGCACAUCUACGACUCUCACAUGACUUGUAAGGAGUGUGGAGACACUGGACACUCAGGCAACCACUGCCCUGAGAUACUUGAGGAUGCGAACUACAUCAUCAACAACAACAACAACUACUGCAACCGUCCUCAACAAAAUCAAGUUGGAAUCAACAGAGGCCUAACUACUCAGGUAAUUAUCAAGGUAACAAUUCUUACAACAAUAAUAAUAAUUUUCCACCUUUGAGAGAGUUAGUGUAUAAUCAAGGAAAGCUAAUGGAUAACCUAUCUAAGAAAUUGGCAUCGAAUGAUAAAAUGCUAGAAAAUAUAAAUAAUAGAAUGGAUAAUUUCUCUACUGCCAUCAAGAAUCAAAUUAGCUUUAAUAAAAUGAUUGAAUCUCAGUUAAAUCAAAUUGCUGCUGCUGUUCCUGCUACUAACCCCGGUAUACCAUCACAACCGGAAGGAUUAGAAUCUGCAAAUCUUGUAGACAUGUUUGAUGCAGGUAAUAAUUGGAGUAACCCUGUCACUGAAAUCUCUACUGACCUUCUGCCGGUUAAGAGAGGCGAUCCAGGACGCCCCGUCAUCCCGAUCUCCAUCGACAUGGUGGACGUUCUAGAAGCACUCUGUGACUUUGGCUCCAGUGUCAACAUUAUACCCAGGGUACUCUAUGAAAAAUUCUUUAUAUAUCCUUUAUUAGAGACAACCAUGUGUUUGCAGUUUGCAGAUCAGACGAUAACUUUUCCAAAGGGAGUAUUGAAGAACCUUUGUGUCCGAGUUGGUACCUUAUAUGCUCUAGCCGACUUCGUAGUGGUAGAGACCGGAAAUGAUGAAAGAGCACCCAUCAUCUUAGGGAGGCCAUUCUUGAACACCACGGGAGCUAUCAUCUAUGCUAGUGCUGCCAAGAUCAGUUUCUACGUCAAAGGGAGGAAGGAGACAUUUUUCUUCAAGAACAAGACUACACAAAUUUCAGAUCAAUCCAGACGUGAAUCAAGGAAGAGGACCAACAGGAGGAACAGGAACAAGCAAGUGUGGGCCGAGUCAGCUAAGAUGGUCACUGUAGUUCAUGGAGGCCAAGAUCACCAACUUAAGUCACCGCUUUUGACCAAUAAGGACGACCCAGGAAUGCCAAGCAUCUACUGCUCCAUAAAUGGAUACAACUUCUACAAGACGACUUGCGACACCGGAUCGGGCGUCAACAUAAUGGCCGCAGUCACCUAUCGGCUUUUGUUCGGAACCAUGCCACUAAGACCAACAUACAUUCAGCUCCAGAUGACAGAUCAGACAUUUGGAGAAGUCAAAGGAAUAGUAACUGAUGUCCCAGUCAAAAUAGACGAUCAUUUUGUCUACACAGACUUUCAAGUUAUUGACAUGGGAGAAGACGAGUACGAUCCACCCAUCAUCCUUGGAAGACCGUUCCUCAGCACCGUUAAAGCAAUCAUCUACAUUGGAACCGGAGAAGUCCAUAUGCACUUCCCCUCAGAGAAGGUACGUCGUUAUUUUACUGACCCUAACUAUAUCGUUGAAGAAUCUAAGUAGGUCAGGAAACAAUGCAACCGCAACCAGAGGAGGCAGAUCAUCAAGGACGGAUGGGCAGACUAUGAAGGAGAAGUUAUAAGGUCAGAAUACGUAGAGUUUAAACACUAUUAUCCAGAGGAGACUGAAGCACCGAGUCAGGUAUGGAAAGAGAACAUAGUUAUACAUGAAGAGGAGGCGCUGCCGGAAGUACCGACUACGCCGCCCAACGAACCUCAGGACAAUUGAAAAAAUGGAGAGUCCCGUUCGGAGGACUUAAAAACACCGAACGCCUUGCCAAGAGGUAAACUUGGUAGUUAUCCUUUCCCUUUCAAUUAUUUCAAAUAGUUUACUUAGUUAAUCAUGUUCGUACUAUCCUAAAAAGAAAAUAAAAAAUAUGAAAAAACAGUAAGCCCCAUGUGAGUAUACGAGUGGCAUAAAACCCAUAAGUACAUUCACUGUGGUGGCAUAAAAAUAAAAUAAAUAUUUUCUUUAUUGCUUUAUAAAAUAAAAAUAUAAAAACAGGGAGUAAUAAUUAAGGAGUCUCAACAUGAUAAAGGCUAGAUAUUUAUGCUAACACUUAAUCAGUUCCACAAGCUUUGUUGUCUAUUUGAGCUCCACAGAAUGUAAGAAGACUAGCAGAUGGAGGACAUUCUAAUCGCUGUCAGAAUGCUGCUGACUUUCAAAUACACCUCUGCCACCUGCUAGCUACAUCAAGAGAAAUUACGUCAAAAUUCAGCUUCGGGGAGAGCACCCCCAUUUAUCUCGAUAAGUAUUUCUAUCUAUCUUUAUACUUAUACUAUAUUAAAAUAUAACUAUGAAAAAACCAAAUAAUGAUUUUGUGCUUAUAUAUUUUGCUUAGUGUGUUUAAUAAAUAAAUAAAGUGGCUAUGCUAAUCUGUAUCUAAAUUAAAACUCAGGCAUGGAUAUGAUGAAUAGUUGCUCUGCCUAAUUUGCACAUUUGAAGUUCUCUCUCAAGUUUAGAUAUAACUGUUAUAAUUUAAGGCUUGCUCUAGACCUAAACUUGUGGGAUGAAAACUUGAUCUGAAAUCUAAGUUGUUAACGGAUACGAUAUGGGAAGGUUGAGCUGCUGUUUAUCUGUUCCUAGAGAUGCUAGAAUUCUAGAGAAUUUUAUCUUUGAAAAUCUUUAAAAUAUUUCAUGAUGAGUUCCUGUAUGAUGAGAGUUUAAAUUCCUACCACUGCCAUAUAUACAUGCUUGCUAGACUUUGAGCCACACAUUUACUAUUUACUGCUUAUGAGCAUUGAGUGUGGUCAAGCUGUGUAGACCCUUAGGAGCUUGUCAUGUGGUUAAAUCAAGAUUUCACUUGCACGUUCACUCAUAUAUGCUACUUCUACUCCGGAAGUACCAUCCACAUAUAUCCACUCAUUUCCAUCUCCAGAAUCAACUAAAAAUAUUCUACUCCUAAUCCGGGAGAGAAUAGCCAAAAAUAUCUCUGUUUUUCCCUUGUGAAAUAAAUGCUCAAGUUAUCUUGUUACUACCACUUGUUAUAUUAUCUCAAGAGAUGAGUCCUCUAAAAAAAAGAAGAAAAAAAUAUAUAUAUAUAUACGAGAAAAUAAAAAGGAGCAAGUGCUCGGAACCUCGAAACAAAAAAAAAGUGAGACGAGAGGUAAAAAUGGACAAGUGUCCGACAGUAGAAUUAGGGGUACAAGAUACCCACCUGAGAGAAAAGAAAAAGAAGAGCAUCUCAUUCUCCUCAUAAAGUUUCAAAAAGCAAGGAAGGUAUGUAUCCCCUCAAAGAGCAAAAGUAGAAUUAGACUUCCACCAUUGUUAUCACCAUUAUCACCAUACACCAUUCAUUCGCCACACAUGCACAUCUUGAUUAAACUUAUUGAUUUAUUUCAUUGAAUCCAUGGUUUGACUAUGCAAUAAAUGUCUUAUAAGUAUGUAUACUUUAUCUCCCACCUAUGAGCACCAGAUAUUAAAGCCUUAUUAGAGUAGGGUGAGAGAGAAGGCAAUGUCACUAUGCCUUAUACCACAAAUACUACAUAUCUUGAGAGAAGGCAUAUACCAUCACUGCCUUGGUAAGGAUCUAGAAAUACCACAAAAGAGAGAUAUGAGAGAGUCAUACAAGGAAUCUCUGAGUUUUAUUUGAAAAUCUGCAAAAGCACCAGAGCUAUAGCUGAUCAAGAAUAAGAGACAUGGCACUUGACUAGACUGUUCUAUCUUUUAACCACUCAAGACAGAAGUGACAGUUACAAGUCCCAUGGUGAAGGUAAAGUAAGUAAGUUUUAAGUCUUGACAGUUUACUCUAACUCAGAGAUAAGAUCUUAUUUAAAAAGCAUGUGUACCAUCAAUUUUUAAAAUAUUGCAACAACUUAUGAUCCAUAACUGAGUCUAUCCUUGCUCAGGGACGAGCAAGAGGUAAGCUUGGGGGAGUUUGUUGACGGUCCUUAAGUAUCAAAUUUAAUUAUCAAAUAAAUAAAGAAAAGGAUCCAAAUGAAAUCAACAUCUAGACUUAGGGUUUUAUCUGACAGAAUUCCACGAGUUUUGGUGUUUGUCUAUUUCUAUAGGGGGUUAUCUGGAAAUACGGAAGAAAGGCCCACACGUCGGGAUUACAUAGAGAUAUUAACGUGCCGCACAAUUAUCUUACAUCUAGAAGACUCCAGAAGCCACGAGACCGAAGCGGAGGCGAAACGGGGCCAGAGGCAGGGCGCCCGCCCACCUGCCCUGGGCGCCCGCCCCCUCUGGGAGUCCAAUCAGGACUCUGCUUCGUGGGAGAUCUCCACCGACCUAAAGGAUGAAUCUAAACCAUACAAUCUAUGUCGGUUUGAUCCAAUGGCCCAUAUUCACUUGAAGGGACUAUAAAACCAGACCCCCUGGCCCCUGGAGGAGAGAGCCUCUCAACCCUAAUUCAUUGUUCUUCAAGGGAGAAGAAGCCU